UUCUGCUAUGUGUCUAUGCCCUUCUGGCUCAAGAGUGCCCAGGCAACUUACCAACGGUGUGUACAAAAUUGUCUUCACAAGCAGAUUGGCCGUAAGGUACAUGCUUACGUGGAUGAUAUCGUGGUUAAAUCCAGGGAGAAGGAGACUCUGAUUGAUGAUUUGAAGGAAACCUUUGAUAACCUAAGAACAUACAAGAUGAUGCUAAAUCCGGACAAGUGUGUCUUUGGUGUACCGGCGGGCAAGCUAUUGGGUUUUCUAGUGUCCAACAGGGGAAUUGAGGCUAAUCCGGAGAAGAUCAUGGCUAUCACCUCCCUGGCUAAACCGAAGUGUAUCAACGAUGUUCAACGCCUGGCAGGCCGGAUUGCUGUGCUAAGCCGGUUUAUCAAUCGCCUGGGUGAGAAGGCAAUCCCUUUGUAUCAGAUGUUGAAAAAGACGGAUCAGUUUGUCUGGAGUUCUACUGUUGAUGAAGCAUUUGAGGACUUAAAGCGGCAAUUGGCCAAUCCCCUUGUGCUCGCCGCUCCCGUUGACAAGGAGCCGUUACUGCUAUAUGUUGCUGCUAAUGUUCGGGCGGUCAGCGUAGCUAUUGUGGUGGAGCGAAAGGAGGCAGGUAAGGAGCAUCCGGUUCAACGUCCGGUCUAUUAUAUCAGCGAGGUGCUCAUUGAGUCCAAGCAAAGGUAUCCGCAUUGGCAGAAGCUGGUGUAUGGAGUUUUUAUGGCAAGACGGAAGCUUAAACAAUAUUUCCAAGGGCACUCAAUUAAGGUGGUCAGUUCUGCUCCUUUGGGAGAUAUCAUCCAGAACCAGGAAGCAACUGGCCGGAUUGCAAAGUGGGCCAUAGAGUUGUGGCCGUACGAUUUUAAAUAUGUGCCUCGCACAGCGGUUAAGUCUCAAGCACUUGUUGAUUUCAUCAAUGAUUGGACGGAAAUGCAAGCACCUGAAGAAAAGCCGGAUCAUACGUAUUGGACCAUCCAUUUUGACGGAUCCAGGCAGUUAGAAGGCUCGGGGGCUGGAGUCGUAUUAACUUCCCCACGAGGUGAUAAGUUUUGUUAUGUUCUCCAUUUAAUGUUCCCUUGUACUAACAAUGCAGCUGAGUAUGAAGCCUUGCUCCAUGGUCUCUGGAUGGCUAAGGAGAUGAAUCUAAGUCUAGUUAAGUUCUUCGGUGACUCAGACCUUGUGGCUCAGCAAGUGUCUGGCACUUGGGACUCCAAGGACCCACUCAUGGCAGCAUAUCAUCGUGAGGUGGAUACUGUCGCAAGUUAUUUCAAAGGCUAUCAGGUGGACCACGUGGACCGGCGGAAAAAUGAAGCGGCAGAUGCUUUAAGCCGGCUGGGCUCUCAGCGCAAACCGGUCCCACCCAAUGUUUUUCUGGAUGUGCUGCACAACCCGUCGGUCAAGAUCCCUGGUGAAGAGGAUUUGGCCAUUCCUGAUCCGGAGGCUCAAUUGGUAGCGGUUCUUCAUGUUAUUCCAGAUUGGAUGCUUCCUUACCUGGUGUACAAGAAACGGGGUGAGUUACCAGAGGAUGAGAUUCUAGCCCGGCAGAUAAUCCGGCGAUCCAAGUCCAUGGCUAUCAUCAAUGGCGAGUUGCAUCAUUGCAGUAUAUCAGGAUCUUUUCAACAUUGUGUGUCUCCUAAAGAAGGCCGUGAAAUUUUGCGUGAGAUCCACGAAGGAGAUUGUGGUCACCACGCCGGUUCAAAGUCUCUGGUGGCUAAAGUGUUUCGCCAUGGUUUUUAUUGGUUAACUGCUCAUGCUGAUGCGGAGGAUCUGGUCAGACGAUGUGAUGGUUGCCAAAGGUUUUCAAGGCGUGCUCAUGUACCGGCUCAAGAAUUGAGAAUGAUUCCAAUUACUUGGCCGUUUGCGACUUGGGGGCUGGAUAUGGUUGGGCCUUUCAAAAGGUCCAAAGAUAAGAAGACCCACCUCCUUGUGGCGGUUGACAAGUUUACAAAGUGGGUGGAGGCAGAACCUAUUAGCAAGUGUGAUGCGGCCACGGCGGUUCAGUUCAUCAAAAAGGUGAUUUUCCGGUUUGGCUUUCCGCAUAGUAUUAUCACAGAUAAUGGUACCAAUUUGUCCAAAGGUGCUAUGAAGGAGUUCUGCGAACGGGAGCACAUCCGGCUCGAUGUUUCAUCAGUGGCACAUCCACAGUCCAAUGGUCAAGCAGAAAGAGCUAAUCAAGAGAUCUUGAGAGGCAUCAAGCCACGGCUCAUGGUUCCUUUGCAGAGAACGCCGGGUUGUCGGGUAGAAGAAUUACCAUCUGUGUUAUGGUGCAUCAAUACAACACCCAACAGAUCAACAGGAUACACACCAUUCUUCAUGGUUUAUGGAGCGAAGGCGGUUCUCCCCAGUGAUAUCCGUCAUGAUUCACCUCGUGUCACGGCUUAUAUUGAAGCGGACAAUGAGACAGCACGGCAAGAUGCUUUGGACCGGUUGGAUGAAGAGCGUGACAUCGCAGCCGCCCGAUCGGCGAUUUACCAGCAGGAUCUUCGUCGUUAUCACAGUCGCCAGGUCAGAACCAGAACCUUUCAGGAAGGAGAUUUGGUGCUUCGGCUCAUCCAAGAUCAGACUGAUAUGCAUAAGCUAUCCCCACCUUGGGAGGGGCCUUUCGUGGUCAGCAAGAAUCUGCACAACGGGUCAUACUAUCUGAUCGAUAUUCGGGAGCAUAAGGACUCACGUACAUCAGAGGAGGAGACUAACAGGCCGUGGAAUAUAGCUCAUCUUCGGCCUUACUAUACCUGAGCCAUUGGCUAUACUUAUGUACAUAUUACGACAAUGUAUAUAUUAUGAUUAAAUAUAAUAAACCGGAACCUCAGCUAAAGCGGGGUAUCUAUUCUUUUACAUCAUGUCAGGUUACACGGAGCUGCUCUAAAGCGGCCUCCGGUUUACCCCUUGAGUUCGCUUUGCUAAAAGCAUCGUGUUAUAUCACUUGGAGGAUUGGUCGUGUCCGAACCAAUACCAUGCCUCUUAAUAGGCGAGAGCCACCAGAUCACUUGGGGACUUGGUCAUGUCUGAACCAGUCAUGCCUCUUGAUCGGCCUAAGGCCACAGAAUCACUUGGGGGCUUGGUCGAACCCGAACCAUGACCAUGCCAUUUGUUCGGCAUAAAUGCCACGGCUUCAUUUGGGGACCUGGCUGACUAGAACCAUAGUUACACCUAACGGGAGCUUGGUCGUGUUUGGCCAUGGUAACGCCAUUUGAUCAGCUUAAAUAAACCUUUUUUGGCAAACAGUUUUGUCGUUGCUUUUGCUUCACACUUUUCUUUGAAGGGGGGUUUUUGCUUUUAAUUGUGUUUUUUAAACCGACAAAGUUUUUAACCAAUCAAUUGACGGAACACAGUUCACGACAAUCCGGAGACUAUUUGUCCGGUUUGAUCCUUGUUGUUAACAUCCUCUUAUGGAGUAACACGGUGUUUAUUAUAACCCGACACGGUUUACAUGGUAAACCAGCGUCAUAUAUAUAUAUAUACAGGAGCUGUUAUCUCCUCCAACAGUGUGGGUUUGCAAAACUCCGCUUCAAGGUUGGUAUAACACCCUCGAUGCGACUAUAGCUCCCACGUGUCGAGGCACGACUUAGAGACAUAAUCGCAUUGAAGUCAUAAGUCACAAGAUAGGCAAUCUUCACAACAUCCCAUGUAAUAUAGAUAAUAAAAGGGGAGAUAACAUAGUUGGCUUACACUCGCCACGUCAAUCAAGUACAUAAAUAACAUUACAUCAUCCAAACACUCAUGGCCCGACUACGGCGCCAAAAAAAAGAGAACCCAACAUGCGACACGGUCCCGAUCACCCCCAACUGGGCACCACUACUGAUCAUCAGGAAAGGAAACAUAGUAACGUUGAGAGUCUUCGUCGAACUCCCACUUGAGCUCAAGCGCGUCUCCUGGAGCGAAAUCAUCGGGCCCUGCAUCUGGUGUAAUAGUAAUCUGUGAGCCACAGGGACUCAGCAAUCUCGCACCCUCGCGAUGAAGACUAUUUAAGCUUAUAGGCAAGGCAAGGUAAAUAUGUGGAGCUGCAGCAAGCGACUAGCAAAAAAUAUGGUGGCUAACUUAUUCGCAAAAGAGAGCGAGAAGAGGAGGCAAAGCGCGAACGAGAAACUAGAGGACAACCUGCGCAAACAUUACUCCAACACCGUGUCCGCUUCCUGGACUCCGUCGAGAAGAGGCCAUCGCGGUAACACACUCAGUUGAUUCAUUUUAAUUAAGUUAAGGUUCAAGUUGUCUACAACCGGACAUUAACAAAUUCCCAUCUGCCCAUAACUGCGGGCACGGCUUUUGAAAGUUCAAAACCCUGCAGGGGAGUCCCAACUUAGCCCAUGACAAGCUCUCAUGGUCAACGAAGGAAUAGACCUCCUCCCAAGAUGUUCCAAUCAGACUCGGUAUCUUGGUUCUUCAAGACACUUCGACAGGUUAAAACAAGACCAGCAACACCGCCCGAAUGUGCCGACAAAUCUCGAUAGGAGCUGCACAUAUCUCUUUCUCAGGGCACACUCAGAUGAGCGCUCCAUACAACUAAAACCAAACCUCGAGUUUCCCCGAGGGGGCGCUGCACAGGACUCUAGUUUGGACCAACACUCAGAGGAGCACUGGCCUAGGGGGGCUAAAAUAAGAUGACCCUCGGGCUCCGGAAACCCAAGGGAAAAAGAGGCUAGGUGGAAAAUGGUAAAACCAAGGUUGGGCAUUGCUGGAAAAGCUUUAAUCAAGGCGAACUAUCAAGGGGUUCCCAUUAUAACCCAACCGCGUAAGGAACGCAAAAUCCGGGAACGUAACACCGAUAUGACGGAAACUAGGGCGGCAAGAGUGGAACAAAACACUAGGCGAGAGGCCGAGCCUUCCACCCUUUACCAAGUAUAUAUGUGCAUUAAGAUAACAUGAUAAUAUAAUGAUAUCCCAACAAGUAAAUAAAUGUUCCAACAAGGAACGGACUCCAAUCUUCACCUGCAACAAGCAACGCUAUAAGAGGAGCUGAGCAAAGCAGUAACAUAGCCAAUCAACGGUUUGCUAGGACAUGGUGGGUUAGAGGUUUGACAUGGCAAUUUGGGAGGCUUGAAAGAAAAUGGUAGGCAUCGUAGCAUUGGCAUAGCAAAAGAGCGAGCAAACUAGCAUAGCAAAGAUAGUAGUGAUUUCGAGGGUAUGAUCAUCUUGCCUGCACAGUUGUUAGAGUUGACUGGAUCCUCGAAAGCAAACUCAACGGGCUCCUCGUUAGCGAACUCGUCUCCCUUCUCUACCCAAACAAGACAAACAAGCAACAAGGACACAAUCAACCACAUGCAAAAAUCAAACAAGAUGAUGCAAAGAUGGUAUGCUAUGCGGGAUGCGAUGCGGGAUGCAUAAGCAAGAAGUGACAAGGAAUGCAUGAACCUGGCCUCAACUUGGAAAUCCAAGGGUGCCACUGGAAAGAUGAUACGGAAUCGCUUGAAAACGAUAUAAAGAACGCCAGAAUCGGAGUUACGGUUUGGAAAUGGCAAGGGAUUCAAAUAUGACACCGGUCUGCGAUUUACAGCAAGUAGCCAUCUAAAUGCAAUGAGAUGAACAAGCUACAGCACCCAAACAUGACAACAAAAUACAUGGCAGGGAUGCAUACAAGAUGCUUAGCAAAAGUCUAGCACUGAGCUAUGGCUAAUUCAAACAUUAACAGGUUCAAACAAGCAUGGCAAAAAUGCAUAUGGUAAACAGAUUUCAGACUUAGUGAAAUCAACACUUGUCUGGAAUUUCAGGUCAGGUAGCACUCUUCAGAGCAACAAAACUACAUGCUACAGGACCUGAACAUGGCAAAGUAAAGCAUGUAAUGGAGCUACUCAAAGAGCUUAACAAAAGUCCCUUAGUGACCUUGAGCCAAAAGGGAUCAGAAAAUACAAUUGCAAGCAUGUGAACAUAGCAAAAACAUAAUCAGUUUUCGGACUUAGUGAAAACUGGAGCAUGCUGAAAACAGAUAUCAAGUAGGCAUGUUUAUGAGCUCGAUGCACUCACUAAGGUGCAAGUCAUGAUAAGCUAAGCAUACAUCCAUCAAGAAUACACAGAAUGCAAGCUAGACAUGGCAAGAACAAUAGCAUAGCAUGCACGGAUCAACUACAACAUCAUCGGCAAAAUCGCAAACAAUUUGACAAUCUGCCCAGAUCACGAAGUAGCAAAAGUAGAGUUCGAUUGACUCAAGCUAGGUUGCUCCAUAAUUGCAAACAACGACAUGGAUGGAUAGAGCACUACAAGAUUAACAAAACAUCCUUACUGAUCAUCCUCAAAAGAGGCACGGAUCACUAGGAAACAACAUGAACAUAUGGCCAUAUGAGAUAAACAGCUCAAGGACUUGGUGGAAUUGCUAAGUCCCUAAAAUCAGCAUUACCAAGUGCCUCUCUUGGCAAGCUUGUGCUAGUCACCACACACAUCACAAAAAUACAUGGGUUGCACCUCUGGAAAGAUGACAAAACCCUUAACAAAAUAUAUGUAGAACCCAUGGGCAUAUCAUGCACACAUUAAUCAUGGCAAAAAUGACAAAAAGCUAAAUGGAGUUACAAAAAUGACAAACAGCAUUUCGGGCAUCAAGAUGAACUCAAAUGACAAUGAUGCAAUGAAAUGAAAUGAUGUACUCUCUGAGUUGAACAUUUUGAUAUGCUAUAUGCCAAAAACGGAGUUACAGAUGAGGAGUUACGAGGCUAUGAACAUUGGAAAAAAAUUAGGGACUUAGGGAAAAAAGAGGGUCAACCCUAAAAUUUGGAUCUGGAUCUGGGAACACGGUUCCCAAGGUUUGAUGCCGACCUCGCCGGGUGGCCGGAGGCGACGAGGAGGACGACGGAGGGCGGCAGGGUCGCCGGAGAGAAGGGCUGGCGUCUCGGGCGGCGAGGCGCGGGCCGGGUCGAGGUGGCGGCGGGGCGGCGGGCGCCGGUGUCGAGGCGNNNNNNNNNNNNNNNNNNNNNNNNNNNNNNNNNNNNNNNNNNNNNNNNNNNNNNNNNNNNNNNNNNNNNNNNNNNNNNNNNNNNNNNNNNNNNNNNNNNNNNNNNNNNNNNNNNNNNNNNNNNNNNNNNNNNNNNNNNNNNNNNNNNNNNNNNNNNNNNNNNNNNNNNNNNNNNNNNNNNNNNNNNNNNNNNNNNNNNNNNNNNNNNNNNNNNNNNNNNNNNNNNNNNNNNNNNNNNNNNNNNNNNNNNNNNNNNNNNNNNNNNNNNNNNNNNNNNNNNNNNNNNNNNNNNNNNNNNNNNNNNNNNNNNNNNNNNNNNNNNNNNNNNNNNNNNNNNNNNNNNNNNNNNNNNNNNNNNNNNNNNNNNNNNNNNNNNNNNNNNNNNNNNNNNNNNNNNNNNNNNNNNNNNNNNNNNNNNNACGGGCGGCGUGCACCUCCGGGCGGCGGCGCGGGGAACUGAGGAGGCGACCGCAGGCGGGUGCCCCCGUGCGGCGGCGGCGGGAUGGGCCGCGGGGGCCCGUGAUGGGCCACGGCAGGCCAGCGGAGGAGGCGGCGAAGUGGGGCGGCCGGGUCGCCACGUGGCUCGCCCGGAGUGGCUGGCGGGGAAGCGGACAAUGUCCGUCGGCGGGAUUUUGUCCGGCGGCGCGCGAUGAUGAGUGGAUCUAGGGAUUUCGGGGGGGAGGAGAAGGAGAUUUUCGGGGGAUCUUUAAAUAGGCAUAGGAGGAGCUAGGAGAGUCCAAAUGAGGUGCGGUUUUCGGCCACGCGAUCAUGAUCGAGCGCUCUAGAUGAUGGAGAGGGUUUAGGUGGAUUUUGGGCCAAAUUGAAGGGGUGUUGGGCUGCAACACACACGAGGCCUUCUCGGUCCCUCGGUUAACCGUUGGAGUAUCAAACGAAGUCCAAAUGGUACGAAACUUGACAGGCGGUCUACCGGUAGUAAACCAAGGCCGCUUGGCAAGUCUCGGUCCAAUCCGGAAAUGUUUAAUCUCCACACACGAAAGAAAGGUAGAAAUGACCGCCGGAGGAGAACAAAGCGCCGGAAUGCAAAACGGACAACAGGGAAAAUGCUCGAAUGCAUGAGAUGAACACGUAUGUGAAUGCAAUGCACAUGAUGACAUGGUAUGAGAUGCAUGACAACGACAACAACACACGGAGACAAAGACCCGAAUCCGAGAAAAUAAAAUAACUUAAAGCCGGAAACGGCAAGAGUUGGAGUACAAAUUGGGAAAGUUACAUCCGGGGUGUUACAGUUAGCCAAGCCAACUUCACACUCAAUGAUGGCAGGUAUUAUGUAUCUCAAAAUUUUGAUCAUAUACUUAAAAUUUUGUUUUGGAUGUUUUGAUUUCAUAUAUACAGACAUCAUAUUCCGCCUGACGGUACAACCGCGGUGGCACUUGACAAAUUUCUUAUUUCAGAAAGUGUUUUAGAAAGUUCAUUACCACAGGAAGAACAAGUUAUGCACGAAGGCACAUCAACAUCAAAGGUAUCAGCUAGCCUAUUACAAGGCAACAUGGUGCCCAUAAUAAUAUAAUUGUUUUUCACAAAGGAGAGGCAGUUUUAAAACCGGCUUCCGGUUCAAGCUUGGCCACCAGCCUGGCCUGAUGGUUGUGGGUCAUCCUGCGCCGCUUCAGCUUCCGUUUCUCUACCCAGUGGCUGGAAAUCCACAGUUGUCCAGUCGAUUCCCAUUAAUGCUUGAAAAACAGCUUCAUCAUGGAUCAGCAAUGAUGGGUCAACAUCGGGAGCGUAAGUAUGCUUAUGGAUUGGAGGGAUCAGAUUUUCCGAUUCAUGGAUUGGUGCAGCUAUUCGCUUGUUCUGACUGUCAUAUUGGGCUUGAUAAUGAGACAAGUCUGCUUCCUCAGCCAGUUGACAAGCUAGCGGACGUACCUCCCGGUUUAUUGCUCGCAGAUCCGCUUCGCCAAAUUCUGACCCAUCUUCCUUCAAGCUGGGAUAGCCCUGAGCCGCUUCAAUAGGAUCAAAAUCCGGCACCCAGGCUUUUGCCCGGAUUAACGCAUUGAUUGCACCGGUUCGAGCAGCAGAUUUCUUCAGCUCUUCAACCCGGGCAGGAAGCACCGACAGUUUCAUCAGAGUAUCUUGAAUCAAAGUGGGCGCCGGUUUGUUAUGAGAUGCGGUACAGAUGAUCCGCUGGGCACCAGUAUACAAUUGUUCAACCAAUGUAUAGGCGGCUUUUAGUUUCUUCCGCACAUCUGACCCCAAGUGACCAAUGCGUGUCCCUGAAAUACCAUGAAGGGUUAAUAAACCGGCGACUCUGUCAGAAGGCAGAGCCAAUUCAGAAGGCAAACUGGCUUACCAAAGAUAGCAGUAGUCAUGGCAUGCACGUGCCGCUUUAUGCUGGUCAGUUCAUCCGCCACUGGUUUUAGUGCAGCCUCGGCAUCCUCUGCUCGUUUGAUCAAAGCGGACUUUUCAGUGGCCCAAUCCGCCCGCUUCUUCUUGAAGCUCUCCUUAAGUUGUUCCAUGGCGCUUAAAGCGCUGGCCAAUUCCUCUUUUGCUUUGGAGGUUUCAGCCUGUUGGGUUUUCAGGUUUUCUUGGAGAUCGGUGACUUGGUUUUCUUUCGUCUUCAGCUCCGCCUGCAUGCAUACAGAUAUAUGCUUCAAGAAAUCGGUAUAAGGAUUCAAGUACCAAUCACAUAACAAGUUAUGCACUUAGCACUUGGGGGCUAAUGCAUAUUCGGUCUUCAUCUUUCAAUUGCUUACAAAGUCCCAAGAUCAAUACAAGUAUUCAACUUGGCACUUGGGGGCUAAUGGCUAUUUGCUCGUAUAUAUUCUGAUGCGGCAAUUUCAAUUACUUAAAGUACCGGUUUAACUACGUUAAGUUGAACCGGCCCUUUGGGGGCUACAUCAGCAAACUUCAAAGCAUCAAGAUUUAUAUUGGUAAGUCCCGUUUUGAAAGAAUAUUACAAACCGGCCCUUGGGGGCUAGGAGAGUCAGCAAGAAUGGAAGCAUACAAGCAGGAAGGAGCAUAUGGAAGUUACCUCAUAUUUUCUUUCAUCAUAUUAACCAGACUGGCUUCAUAGUCGUGACUGGUAUACAACCGGUUCAGAUAGCCGGAAUGGAUAUCUUGGGCGUUCAGAGCAGCAUAAGUCGUCAGAUCAGUGUUCCACUUGCCUUUGCCAAAGGCAGCAAAUUCUUCCUUGGCAUAAUAUUUGGAUAAAGCAACGGGAUUGCUUGGCUCAGUAUGGCCAGUGCCAGUAAUGACAACCUCAUCAUCCUGGGUACUGCCGGUUUGCACUGGGGCUGUUGGCUUGUUAGUAGGUUUUGCUGGACCGGUGGAACUUUCAAUCCGGAUGGAACCUGUGGGCUGAUUGACAGGACCUAAGGCGUCAGUAGGUCUCUCAUCAGCAAUAAGAUCAUCGUCCUGCUGCGGUGGAUAGUUGGGUAUGUCCUCAGGAAUAGCCGCUUCAAGAUGGGGUGUCUUUCCUGGUUCAAGAAUGACAUCUUCUUCCGCCGCUUUGUCCAGGCGAGGCUUCUUGCUUGGCCUAGGUUUGGCCCUGAGAAGAAUAACAAAAUCAAAUACAGCAUAUGUUCUAAGGCAAUAUACUGCAAACAUCACAAUAAGUAUAGCUUACCCAAGCACCGUUUUGAGCAGUGGCAGCUGAGUAGCCGAUGACUCGCCAGAAGAUGAGUGGGAAGUAACCUGGUAAUCGGAGUCAGACGGAUUAAGAGGUCGAUGAAAGCAGCCCGCUUUAGGACAAGCACUGACAAGCAAAUUAGAGACCUCGGAAUGGCGUUUCCGAACCGGACUGUUCGGUAAACCGGCGGAGGUAACUACCUGGCUGCUGUGCCGGGUGGUGCGGCGAGCCUCGUGUUGUUGGGUCUUCAUAAGAAGUUUAGGAUCCAAAUAAGCAAGAGGAUGAGAAAAUUUAACUUUCCGGUUUGCCUGACAGAUUUUUUGUGAAGGCAAAGUUUCUGAAUCGGAAGAGAGAAUAAUUACCUCUGCAACAUCCGCGUGGCUGGCUUCGGCAUCAUCCUGACAAAUAUCAUCAUCAAUAAGACGCAUGAAAAAUAAACCAAGUGAGUCAAGCUCUACCUCAAAGUCCGGAUUAUCCACCUCAUCGUCAGGGGCCGGAUUAGAAGAUGCAGUGGUUCUUUUCCUGUGGGCAGUCUUCUUCACAGCAUUAGUCUUCUGCCGGGUUGCUCUUUCCGGUUUGUCUGGUUUUUCUGGUUUCUCCUGCGGCAGUUUUUUGCUCCCAAACGGAUCAUCGCCCUGAUUAUGCAGACAUUGAUAUUAAAAACAAUGACCAGACAUAUCAAUAACAGAUUCAGCAAAGAGAAAAAUCAAAGUCUUACAGCUGGCGGUUUGUUGGUGGCAUAGAAGGGAAGCAGGCCGGUUCUAGCGCGGACGUGUUCCGGUUCAUUCAAUAUCUUAUGCACAGCCUCUGUGAUUUCUUCACUAGAGAGCUGGAGUUUUGAAUGUCGCAGUGGGUCAUCAACACUAUCAGUAUACUCGCACAUCAAACCGGAGCGCUGACUAAGGGGCAGUAUGCUCCACGAUAUCCAACAGCGAGCAAGAUCAACCCCUGUUAAACCGUUGGCCAUAAAAGCUCUGAGCUUUGACAGCUGAGGAGCAUAUUUACUUCUCUCAUGUGCAGUCAAUUUUGGUGGAAAAGGGAUUGUGUUGCUGAGCCGCUCCGGUCAAAAGCCAGGCAAGGGAUUCUCACCAGCAGGGGAGGUGUCUUUGAAGUAGAACCAUGUCUGAUUCCAUUCUUUGGGGUGGCUAUGCAGUUUGGCGUGAGGGUAUGUGACCUCUUUCCUUUUCUGAAUCGCCACGCCACCCAACUCCGUAUUGGAGCCAUCAGUAAACUCAGUACGACGGUUUAGAUGCAAAAGGUCUCUGAGCAAUUCCACUGUGGGCUCCUCUUGAAAGAACGCUUCACAGAGCACUUGGAAGUGACACAUAUUUGUGACAGAGUUGGGGCCAGUAUCUUGUGGAUGGAGCUGGAAAUCGGCUAAAACAUCCCGGUAAAAUUUAGAACCGGGCGGCUUAAAGCCCCGGGCUAAGUGAUCUACGAAAACAACGACCUCUCCUUCUCGAGGUGUGGGAUGGCAUUCUUUGCCAGGAGCCCUCCAAUGGAUGGUAUCUUUGCUGCCUAAAGCGCCAAUCAGGACUAAAUCGUCCAGUUCAGCCUCUGUGACGCGAGAAGGAACCCAAUUGCACUCAUACACUUGCUUGGCCAUGAUAGAAUCUACAAGGUAGAAGAUCCCGGUUCAAAAAUGCAUUGAUUAAAGUGCACUGGUAUGUACAAUGUUAAACCGGAGACAGCUCUAUCUAAACCGGAGUUUUAUGAAGCAACAGCAGCAGGCGGUUCAACAAGGGGACUAAUGUUAUAUACUGGUUUGGCAAUUUUUCUAUAAAGUUAAACCGCCGGAUCUAAGCAUUGAAACAGUUGAGAUUGCAGAUCGAUAAGUGUACAGAAACAGAUUUCACAAGAUUUCUCUACAGCAACGGAUCUGAAGCAAGUUCAGAAAAGAAGGAAAAUAUUCAAGGUUCAAAAAAGAACAGUACCGAAUCAAUGGGCAGAGAUACAUGUAGAGCUACGGUCUUGAGGCAUAUGAGUAAAGGCGGAUGCUAAGAACUACCGCUACACAGAGCACAGGUUCACAGGUUCAUCUAGGAUCUAUCAUAUGAGUACGAAGCAGACGAUGAACUCUGAAGAACUUGGAAACCCUAGAAUGGAUCUACGGAGGAAAAGGUGAAGAACUCACCGGAGCCGAGGAAGAAACAGAAGGUCACCGUGAUGCUCUGGUACAGUCAGGGUGAUGCAGCGGCCAAGGUUGGAGCAGAGGUUGUCGACGGCGGUGGUGCUCUGAAGCUGGACGACGCGAGGAAGACGAAGCAGAAGGGCACGAAGGGGAAAAAGAAAUGACCCUUCGGUCCUAUUUAUAAGGCAAGGGACAGGAGUCAGGUGCGAAAAUCAAGGACCGUGGGUUUGGAAAUGAAGUUGUCGCCUUAAUUGUCGGAGACCUAUUAAACAAAAAACAAAAAGGGGGUAUCAUGGAUAAGGUUCUUUACAACAGGUGAUGUCACGCCGGUUUACAACAACCAGAGAAGAUGACAUCAUGGCGGUUCAACAAAUUACAAGAAGAUGUUGAAGGUGAAGAUUUUUUGCUAAGGAUUGACAUGAACCUGUUCAAAUCAAUCUGGGGCCUAAUGUUGGGGAUAUUACUACUGGGCGUAAACUGGCCUAUCUGGGCCGGGUUAACUUCAUCAGUAGUUAAUUAUGUUAAAGCCCAAGAAGGCAGAUGAGAGCUCAAGGCCCAUGGUCGGUUUAAGGCAUGUAGCCGUAAACCGGCGUUGGUAUGUAACUUGUAUUGUAAGUUAGGAAUAAGUAGAGACCAAACCGGACACAUCUAUGAGCCGGUAUUGGGAAUCUAUGAACUGACAGGCGUCACCCGUGUAUAUAAGGGGAUGAGCCGGCAGCGGUUCAGAUGAGAGACAACAACUCGAGACAUAGGUGAAGCUUGUUUGCUCCCUAGUCAUCGAAACCCCAUCAAUUCCAUCACAACUAGACGUAGGCUUUUACCUUCAUCGAAGGGGCCGAACUAGUAUAAACUCUCUUGCGUCCUUGUGUCCGCUUUAACCCCUUCAAGCUAACCCGUCGCGAUGGCUCCACGACUAAGUCCUUUCUCUAGGACAUCUGCCGUGACAAAACCAUGACAUUAUCAGUUUCAAUAUUUUCAUUCUCUCUAACCAUAGCAAGUUGUUCAUCAAGAAAUUCACCAAGUGGCCCAGUAGUAUCAAGCAUAGAAGUAGUUUCAUCAUAAGUAUCAUGCAUAGCAGAAGUGGCAUCAUAAAUAACAUGUGACAUAUCAGAACGAAUAGCAGAAGCAGGUUUAGGUGUCGCAAGCUUACUCAAAACAGAAGGUGAAUCGAGUGUAGAGCUAGAUGGCAGUUCCUUACCUACCCUCGUAGUUGAGGGAUAAAUCUUGGUUCUUGGAUCUCUCAAUAUCUUCAUAAUGAUAAGCAGAUAUAAAUCCCAAGUGACUCAAAGAAUAGAGCUAUGCUCCCCGGCAACAGUGCCAGAAAAUAGUCUUGAUAACCCACAAGUAUAGGGGAUCGCAACAGUUUUCGAGGGUAGAGUAUUCAACCCAAAUUUAUUGAUUCGACACAAGGCGAGCCAAAGAAUAUUCUCAAGUAUUAGCAGCUGAGUUGUCAAUUCAACCACACCUGGAAAAUUAAUAUCUGCAGCAAAGUGUUUAGUAGCAAAGUAAUAUGAUAGUAGUGGUAACGGUAGCAAAAGUUAAUGAUAACAGAAGUAAUGUUUUGGGUAUUUUGUAGUGAUGAUAGCAAUAGCAACGGAAAAGUAAAUAAGCGGAGAACAAUAUAUGGAAAACUCGUAGGCAAUGGAUCGGUGAUAGAGAAUUAUGCCGGAUGCGGUUCAUCAUGUAAUAGUCAUAACCUAGGGUGACACAGAACUAGCUCCAAUUCAUCAAUGUAAUGUAGGCAUGUAUUCCGAAUAUAGUCAUAUGUGCUUAUGGAAAAGAACUUGCAUGACAUCUUUUGUCCUACCCUCCCGUGGCAGCAGGGUCCUAAUGGAAACUAAGGGAUAUUAAGGCCUCCUUUUAAUAGAGUACCGGAACAAAGCAUUAGCACAUAGUGAACACAUGAACUCCUCAAACUACGGUCAUCACCGGGAGUGGUCCCGAUUAUUGUCACUUCGGGGUUGCCGGAUCAUAACACAUAGUAGGUGACUAUAGACUUGCAAGAUAGGAUCAAGAACUCACAUAUAUUGAUGAAAACAUAAUAGGUUCAGAUCUGAAAUCAUGGCACUCGGGCCCUAGUGACAAGCAUUAAGCAUAGCAAAGUCAUCGCAACAUCAAUCUCAGAACAUAGUGGAUACUAGAGAUCAAACCCUAACAAAACUAACUGGAUUACAUGAUAGAUCUUAUCCAACCCAUCACCGUCCAGCAAGCCUAUGAUGGAAUUACUCACGCACGGCGGUGAGCAUCAUGAAAUUGGUGAUGGAGGAUGGUUGAUGAUGACGAUGGCGACGGAUUUCCCUCUCUGGAGCCCCGAAUGGACUCCAGAUCAGCCCUCCCGAGAGGUUUUAGGGCUUGGCGGCGGCUCCGUAUCGUAAAACGCGAUGAAUCCUUCUCUCUGAUUUUUUAUCCCCGAAAGCAAAUAUAUAGAGCUGGAGUUGAGGUCAGAGGAGCUCCAGAGGGCCCACGAGGUAGGGGGCGCGCCCCCACCCUCGUGGCUAGGGUGUGGGCCCCAGGUCUUCAUCUUUUGCAAGGAUUUUUUAUUAUUUCCAAAUAGACGCUCCGUGAAGUUUCAGGUCAUUCCGAGAACUUUUGUUUCUGCACAUAAAUAACACCAUGGUAAUCCUUCUGAAAACAUCGCCAGUCCGUGUCAGUUCCAUUCAAAUCAUGCAAGUUAGAGUCCAAAACAAGGGCAAAAGUAUUUGGAAAAGUAGAUACGACGGAGACAUAUCAGGCCCCCGCCGAAUCACACAUUCGACGGCGGCCUCGGGGACUACACCCAGUGGGUGCACUUUGCGUUCCCCCAUUAGUCCGAAAACUACAAUUGACACAACCUAGUCGACUCAACUGGGAAAAAUAGUCGACAUAAAUUAGAACACCCAGUGGGUGUGCAGAUGCGAAGAAUAGACUGACUGACGGACGCACAAAGAAGAGUUUUUUUGGGUAGCAUAUCCUAACAGAACAAGCGACAACAUAGGAGUUCAGUCAGAAACCAACUUUCCUAGACAUUGGCUCGGAGGGCUGCACUGGCAUCAUAAGCAGCUUGACUAUUCUCGUGCACAGUCUUCACCCGCUCCAUCAUCAGGCCCGCUUGGCGUAUAGCUUCUACUGCGGCGCUUGCCUGAUCCUCCGAGACAUGAUGGGUGGUGAAGAACGGAGUUGCCGGUUCAGUUGGAGCAGCCUGAAAAUCUGAGGCGUGACACUGAACAAAUGAAGCAGGGCCGGGCACGAUCGAUGAUGAAGGGCGUUCAAUCGACACUGAAACUGCAAAAGUGACAGAGGUCUGGUUCACAUAUUCAGGUUGUUGAACCACCGGCACCGACUGAGACAUCUGGCCAGCAGUUGCCUUCUUGCUCGAAGCCUUGCCCCUCCUUCCCAUGGUCCUCUACAGCACGUCUUCGCCAUCAACCGGAAGCUCAAUGACAUUGGGCGAAGCUGCAAAGCAAUCAUUUACAAGAGUUCACUCGACCAUCAAAAAAGCAGAUUGAAUAAUGACAAGAGGGCAGAGUUUUACCUACAUGAGAAGUGGUCGCGUCCUCCAUCUAUUCAUCUUUGUCAUCUUGGAAAAUAGAAGUCCCAGAGGAAACACUACAAAAGUCAGAUUUCACUCGGUCAGAACAAGAGAGUGAGUCGACCAAAGUUUGAAUCAUGCGAAAACUAAAGAGUUGGGCCCAAUAAUUACCCAGAAGCAAUGGGGACAGCCACUUUGAUCUUGGGCAGAGCCUUUCGGGGUUUGGAUGUCAUGACUUUGGGCUGCUUGGGAGCUUUUUCAAUCGCCAUAGGAGAAGACAUCCGAGUACGCUUUAAAGGCUGACCUGUCGGAGGAGUCGUUUUGCCCCGAAUGCUUGCUGGAUCCUGCCUCUUCUUGGAGCGCCUCUCUGUGCGAGGCAGAGAGUCGACCUCCUCGCCACUGCUCAAGUCCUCACUCUCCUUGUCUCCUCCUCCGUCCGAGUGCCAGUUGCCGCUGUCACCCCCGCUUGCCUAUCCCUCCUGCUCUUGCUCUCCGUUGGGCAUCGAGUACAGUUCAGUGAAGGUCUGCAAAGGAUAGAGUCAAGUGGAUAUUCGUCGAUUUCAAAAGCUAACACAUAUGAGAGCAAAAUACACUCGUAAGUAAAGAAUCAAACCUUGUCAGGCUCAAUGGUGUUCCCGAGUGGAGGAACCCUUCUGGACCCCCUGGGUUGUCCUUAUUUCCUGUGAUGCCUUGCAGCCACAGCUCCACCGUCUCUUCACUGACUUCCUCCAGGUGGAUCCGAGUGCUGUCCUCAAUGCCCGAGUACAACCACAUUGGGUGGUCACGAGCUUGGAGCGUCUUUAUGCGUGGACUCAGAAAAGCUUCUAGCAAAUCCAUACCAGUCAUGCCAACACAGACAAGUUGGACCACUCACUCGACCAGCAUAGCAACCUCCUCUUUCUCCUCUGGAGUCACUCUUAACGAAGAAGGCUUCUCUACUCGCUCAGUGGAAUACAGAGGAAGACCAGUCGAUUGACCAGGAGUCGGUUCAUCCUUACAAUAGAACCAGGUCGACUGCCACCCCCUAACGGAGUCUGGAAGAAUCAUGGCAGGGAAAGUGCUCUUGUUUCUCAUCUGGAUCCCUAAACCCCCACACAUCUGAAUCACGUGUGUUCUCUCAUCACUCGGAUUGGACUUUUUACCGACUGAGAGCGGCAGGUGAAAAUAUGUUUGAAGAGGCCCGGUGUGGUUGACAACCCAGAAAAUUCUCGCACAUGGACACAUAGGCAGCAAGAUAUGUGAUAGUGUUGGGGGAGAAGUGAUAAAGUUGAGCCCCGAAGAAAUUCAGAAACCCUCGGAAGAAAGGAUGGGGAGGCAAAGAAAAACCGCGGUCGACGUGGGUCGCGAGUAGGACACACUCACCCUCUUGUGGUCGCGGCUCAGUCUCGUCCCUCGGAAGCCACCAAGACUCAUGGGCAAUCAGCCCUUCGUCCACCAGAUCUUCCAUGUCCUCUUUCACGAUGGUCGAACGGAUCCAGUCGCCCUGGAUCCAGCCGCGCGGCAGAGCGGAUCUUGACGAUGACCCACCCCGGCUCGUAUUCUUCCCCUUCGCCUUCGCUGUCACUUUUCUUCACGUGCUCCAGAGCGGCGGUCUUGUCCUUCCCCAUUGCGGUGGAACGGGCUCAAGCUGGGCAGCGUCGCCGAGAGUGGAGAAGGAAGCAGUGGGGAGCGAAGGAAGAAGGGCGCGCAGUGCGAAGGCAGCGGCCUCGACGCCUUAUAUGGCCCCGUUCCCCGAGUGACUGGCCGGUGGACCCAGGCGGUCCUGUCAAAUCCGCAACAGGCGCGCGCGCAGUACGUGGAGAAAAAGGUGGCGCGGGCAUCGAGGCACCCCUGCCUAAUUUGCUCCGAUUACCACAGUCCUCUCUGCCCCGCGCGCUUCCCCAAAUUUCGAAUCCCGCCAGAUCCGGGAAUGGUAGGGCAGUCGAUCAUACCAAAGAUUUUAUACAACACUAGCUAUCGAAACUCAUCAUCGGAAACUUCACUCGACAAACUUCUGAAUGGCUCAAGGCGACUGGAAGACGAAGUCGAAGCCGUUUGCAUGGUUCACCAUUCCAGUCAUAUGCUUCUGCGGCAUAAAGGUUGGAUCGGAACCAUUGUCAACUUCAUUUUCCACUCGAACCAGAACCAUUCGGGGGCUAAUGACGGUGCCAUGUACCUGGGGUAGGGCAAUAGACCUGAUCUAAGCACCGUCCCCAAGGACACUGCCCUAUAGUCAAAGAUAUCCAAGGGACAAUAAAUUCUACCGACUGGAAUUACUUCAAGCUGCAACCCACUCGACCAUGAGUUCCACCCGGAUAACCCAAUUCCAUUCGACCGUGAUGUAAUCAUUCUACCACAUCACAAACCACCCAGAGCGCAGAAAAUCAAAGGCUACUCAGGAUGGCAACGGUCAGGCGCUCACUCCGUAGCCUUAAGGGUCAUUUAUAUCACUUUAAUGUUGACGUUACCAGUAACGUCCCUUCUUUAUGUACAUUGAACCCUUGUAACGUGGGUUGGCCGGGGUCCUGGCACACUCUAUAUAAGCCACCCCCUCCUCUAGCACAAGGGUUCACACCCCCUGUAACAUCACGCAUAAUCCAAUUGACUGAGCCUCCGGGCACCGAGACGUAGGGCUAUUACUCCCACCGCGAAGGGCCUGAACUCGUACAUCUUGCGUGCACAAUCUCACCGUAGCUAGGAUCUUGCCUCUACAUUCCUACCCCCUACUUUACUGUCAGACUUAGAACCACGAAAAUGAUUGUAUUGAGAAUCAAACGAGGGAGAGGAAGGCGUCUAGCUACUAACUACAGACCCAAAGGUCUACAAAGAACUACUCAUGCAUCAUCGGAGAGGCGCCAAUGGAGGUGGUGAACCCCAUCCGUGAUGGUGUCUAGAUUGGAUCUGGUGGUUCUGGACUCUGCGACGACUGGAAUUGAUUUUUGUCAACUCCUCUAGGGUUUUUGGAAUAUUGUGGUAUUUAUAGAGCAAAGAGGCGGUCCUGGGGGCACCCGAGGUGGGCACAACCCACUAGGGCGCGCGUGGGCCUCCUGGCGCGCCCUGGUGGGUUGUGGUCUCCUCGGAGCACCCCCCCCCCCAAGCGUGGCCUUGGCCCAUUAGGUGUCUUCUGGUCCAUAAAAAAUCUCUAUAAUUUUUCGUGGCAUUUGGACUCCGUUUGGUAUUGAUUUUCUGCGAUGUAAAAACAUGCAAAAAAGCAACUGCAACUUGGCACUAUGUCAGUAGGUUAGUACCAAAAAUGAUAUAAAUGACUAUAAAAUUAUUAUAAAACAUCCAAGAUUGAUAUUAUAACAACAUGGAGCAAUCAAAAAUUAUAGAUACGUUGGAGACGUAUCAACAUCCCCAAGCUUAACUCCUACUCGUCCUCGAGUAGGUAAGUGAUAAAGAGAGAAUUUUUGACGUGGAAUGCUGCCUAUCAUGUCAUAUCAUAUUCUUUUCUUUAUAGCAUAGACAUUUGGACUUUUAUAUUGUUCAAAGCAAUAGUCUAGUUUUGACAUGAUAACUUAAAUACUCGAGCAUAUCGACAAGCAACUAUGUCUUUCAAAAUAUCAACGCUAAAAUAAGCUAUCCCUAGCCCAUCAUGCUCAAUCAUUGAACCAUUCAUGAAACACACUCGCAUAUUAACUACACCCAAUGCUCAAGUACGAUCAUAGUGCCUCCUAGUUGGUGCUUUUAUAAGAGAAGGUGGAGACUCAAAUUAAAAAUAGAAAUUGCAUAAAGUAAAAGAAAGGCCCUUCGCAGAGGGAAGUAGGGGUGCCAGAGCUCAAAGCGAAAAAACUUAGAGAUAAAACCAUUUUGGUAGGUGUAUCCUUCCCACCAACGAAAACGACUUAGAGUUCCCAACACUUUCCAUGCUAGAUAUAUCAUAGGCGGUUCCCAAACAAAAAAUAAAGUUUAUUCCCUUUUCAACCAUACUUUCACUUUCCAUGGCUACCCGUAUCCACGGUUGCCCUCCAUACCAACACUUUCCAAGGAAUUUAUUAUUUGACAACAUAAAGUAAAUUCAUUUUUCAUUUCAGGAUUGGGCAUCCCUAAUACCUUUGCCUUACUCUCGUGCAAUGAGAAGUGAAUAAACACUCAUUGUGAGAAUAAUACAUCUAGCAUGGAAAAUAUUAGCCACCCCUCACCGCUCCGCGAGCGAAACGAACACACAAAAGAAAAGUUUAUUUUGAAAAUUAGAGAUGACACAAAUAAAUUUGCUUAGAACGGCAAAAUAAUACCGCAUAUAGGUAGAUAUAGUGGACUCAUGUGGCAAAACUGGUUUAAAGGUUUUUGGAUGCACAAGUAGUGAUCAUACUUAGUGCAAAAUGAAGGCUAGCAAAAGAUUAAGAAGCGACCAACCAAGAAACGAAUGAUCUCAUAAGCGAGCAUUAAGCAUAAUUAACACUGAAUAAUGCACCACAAGUAGGAUAUAAUUUCAUUGCACAAUUAUUGACUUUCGUGCUUGCAUAGGGAAUCAUAAACCUUAACACCAAUAUUCUUACUAAAGCAUAAUUACUCAUCAACAAUACUCACAUAUCACAUCAUCAUAUCUCAAAACUAUUACUAAGAAUCAAGUUUAUUUUGUCCAAUGAUCUUCAUGAAAGUUUUUAUUACAUCCUUCUUGGAUAUCUAUCACUUUGCAACUAAUUUUCAUGUGUUGAUUUUGAUAAGCUCAAACAAAUAAAAGUGAAGAUCAUGAGCAUAAUAUUUCUUUCUCACAAAUAAAUUUAAGUGAAGCAAGAUAGAAUUUCUUAAAAAUUUACUAACUCUCAAAUAAAUAUAAGUGAAGCAAGAGAGCAUUUCUUCAAAAACACUAAAGCACACCGUGCCCAAAAAGAUAUAAGUGAAGCACUAGAGCAAGUCCAUAGCUCAUAAAAAUAUUUAAGUGAAGCAUAGAGAGCAAUUAUAACAAGUCAUGACAUAAUCUUGGCUCUCUCAAUAGGUGUGUCAGUAAGGAAUCAAGAUUCAGAACACACACAAAACAAGCAAAGACUCAUAUCAUACAAGACACUCCAAGCAAAACACAUAGUAUGUGACGAAUAAAAAUAUAGCUUCGAGUAAAAUACCGAUGGUAAUUAGAAAAAAGAGGGGAUGCCACUUGGGCAUCCCCAAGCUUAGUUGCUUGCUCUGUUUUGGAUAAUAGCUUGGGAUGUCGGGGCAUCCCCAAGCUUAGGCUCUUCUUACUAUAAGUGAUGUAUCAAACCAAUUCAUAUUUUGUUUUUGCAUUAUAUCUAUUGUAUUGCAACUUUUCUAUGGCAAGAACUCAUCAAAGAAAACCAUAGAGCCAUCAAAAUAAGCACACAACACAAAGAAAACAGAAUCUGUCAAAACAGAACAGUGUGUAGCAAUAUGACAAUUUCUAAUACUUCUGUAAUUCAAAAAACUCUGAAACAUUAGGAGGACCUGAGAAAUUUGUAUAUUGAUCUACUGCAAUUGGAAUGGGUAUUUUAUCGCUCUCUGGUAAAAAAAUGAAAAUUAAUUUCGUGAGCGCAAACUUUCUGUUUUUUAGCAAGAUCAAACAACUAUUGCCCAUGAAGAUCCUAAAUGCUUUACUUGGCACAAACACUAACUAAAACAUAAAAAACACCAUCAUAAUAGUACUAUAAUUUUGUAAACACACAAGAUCAGGAAGCAAAAAGCAAAAAUAAAUUUUAUUCAUUGGGUUGCCUCCCAACAAGCGCUAUAGUUUUACGCCCUUAGCUAGGCAAAAAGGAAGGAUCUAAGUUUUGUCAUCUUCGGUUCGAGAUCCAUAAGAUGCCCUUAUGAUUGAUUCAUAGGGUGGCUUAAUUCUAGUUCUAGGAAAGUGUUCCAUACCCUUCCUCAAAGGAAAUUGGAACUUAAUAUUGCCUUCUUUCAUAUCAAUCACGGCACCGAUAGUGCGUAAAAACGGUCUACCAAGAAUAAUUGGACAAGACAAAUUACAAUCGAUAUCAACAACAAUAAAAUCUAUGGGCACAUAAUUUCUAUUUGCAAGAAUAAGAAAGUCAUUAAUCCUUCCCAUAGGCUUUUUAAUAGUAGAAUCCACCAAGUGUAAAUUCAAAGAACAUUCUUCAAGAUUGGUAAGACCAAGCACAUCACAUAAAGAUUUCGAAAUUGUGGAAACACUAGCACGCAAGUCACACAAAGCAAAACACUCAUAAUUUUUUUAUCUUGACUUUGAUAGUAGGUUCCCACUCAUCAUACAAUUUUCUAGGAAUUAAAACUUCUAAUUCCAAUUUUUCUUCAAAAGCUUUCAUCAUGGCAUCAACAAUAUGUUUAGUAAAAGCUUUAUUUUGUUCAUAAGCAUGGGGUGAAUUUAUCAUGGAUUGCAACAAAUAAAUACAAUCAAUCAAAGAGCAACUAUCAUAAUUAAAGUCUUUGUAAUCCAUAAUAGUGGGUGCAUCACUAGCUAAAGUUUUGACCUCUCCAAACCCACUUUCAUCGAUUUUCUCAACAAGAUUUUCACCCUCCGAAAUAUCGGGACGCCUUCUGCCUAAAGUUGACUCUUCUCCAGUCCCUUUUUCAUCAUUCUUAACUUUACUAAACAAGAAAUCAAUUGAAGAAACACCAAUCAUUUUAAGAUCUUCAUCACUUUUGCAAGAAUAACCACUAGAAAAAGCUUUUUCCAAAAAUUCUCUUUUAGCUCUAAGCAUAGCAGUUCUUUUCUUACUUUCAUCCAUAGAAACAUAAAGAGCUUUAAUUUAUUCAUCAACCUUAGUCACAAAAAUUUUCAUCUUGAGAUUUUCCACAUCAUGAGCAAUUCUAUCAACACUUCUAGACAAAUCAUCAAUUUUGUUCAACUUUUCUUCUAUGGAAGUGUUGAAAACUUUUUUGUGUGUUGAUAAAUUCUUUAAUAUUAUUCUCAAGAUCAGAGGUGUUCCUAUUAUUAUUAUUAUAAGAUUGAUUUUCAUAGGAAUUACCAUAAUUAUUAGAGGAAUUAUUAGGAAAAGGCUUAGGAUUAAAAUUACCUCUAUAAGCAUUGUUGUUGAAAUUAUUGCGAGAAAUAAAAUUCACAUCAAUAGAAUCACUAUUUUGCUCAAUCAAAGUAGACAAAGACAUAUCAUUAAGAUCAAUAGGAGCACUUCUACUAGCAACCAAUUUCACAAGAGUAUCAACUUUAUCAAUCAAAGAAGAAAUUUCUUCAACCGAAUUAACUUUUUUACUAGUAGCAGCGCUUUCGGUAUGCCAUUGAGAAUAAUUUGCCAUAAUAUUAUCAAGAAAUUUGGUGGCUUCACCCGAAAUAAUUUCCAUAAAAGUACCACCCGUGGCGGAAUCUAAAAGAUAGAAACAAAAUUCAAUCCUGCAAAAAAAUUUGUAUGAUCAUCCAAAGAUUUUACCCAUGUGUCGGGGAUAUACCCCGCGGUGUAACCCGCCAGAUGUAUGACCCGGCUGGAGCGUGGCGACUCACUGGUGACACGUCCGGAGCUUGGCGAUUCACAGAUAACCCGCCCGAUCUUAGCGACUCAUUAGUAACCAGGCGGGCGGGUCAGAUGGACAACAAGGCCCAAAGCCCAGAAGGUCGGCUCAUGUUAUGAUGGGCCGGCUUAAGAGGAAAGGGAUGACAAAUAUUUCCUUUACGAGGAAGCAAGACCCGGACUUGUAUUCAACUUGUAAGAAAAGAUAGACUAGUCCUAGUCCUACUAGGACUCCACAUGUAACCCGCCCCUCAAACUUAUAUAAGGAGUGGCGGGGUCCCCAAGAGGGACAAGUAAGAAGAAACAAUCUCUAGGGAUAGACACAAAGAGCCACCUUACCGGCGACUCCCUCAUGAUCAUAAUGAGACCUAGCCACAAAUAGCAUGUAGGGCUAUUACCGGAUGAUGUUUCCUGGGCCCGAAGCUGUCUAAAUCCUUGUCUUGUGUUGCGUCUCUCUAUUCCGAUCAACCCCUCUCAAGCUACUACAAAGAUGCGUUGGCCUCAUGACUAAGUCCUCACACUAGGACAUCUGCCAUGACAAUUCCACGACAGUUGGCGCCCACCGUGGAGCCUACGCACGAUGGUGUUGAGUUCUUGGAGGAAUCUCUCCACGGAUCGAGAAGUUUGCAAUUUUCCAGAUGAGCCAGUUUGGAAGGGUGUGCAUCAACUUCAGUUCAUCAAACCAGAUUUUAGAUCUGUGAGAUUUAAGGUUCAAGAAAAUUAGGGCUACAACUUGUCCAUCGCUGUCGUCGGGCAAUCUGCCGAUUUAUGAGGCCAACAUGAAUCUAAUCCUCAUGUCAUUGUGCAAUCAGAGGGACGUGAUCAAAUUUUCUCGGUGAUUGUUGUGCGUGGCAUCUAGCGAUCCAUCAAGUCGUCAAUUCAUCAAUGAUCCGAAGCCAGAUCCAUGCUGGAAGUACCGUGUGCAAAAGACCGAAACCGACAGGAGUUGUGUACGCGUACCAAUCACCGAGUUUGCUGCUCCAAUAUCCCAUAUAUUUUUCUACUGUCAAUACAUUGACCGAGUCUAGGCAGAGGACAAGCUAGAUCAGCCGAGUUUGGAAUAAAAUAAGAAAGGAAAGGAUACGCCAGGACAUAGAUCCGCCGUUGGAGCAGUCUGUCCAGCACAGUCAAAACCAAAAUAGCAACAAGCAUUGUUUCCUAUCUGAAACAGGAGGCACGUGAUGCCAGAAAUAGAUCCGCCGUUGGAGUAUUACUAGUAGUAUUAAUCCGGUCAGAUUUGAGCCCAAGUUCAAAAGGCAAAGUCAAAGAUGUGUGGCCUCACGUGGAGCAUCACCCAUGAAACUAUGUCUCCGCCUCCACUACUAUUACCAUCAAAAGUAAAUCAGGCGUAGCACCAUUUGUGUGGCGAACUGUUUUUGGGUCAGUUGAUAUUGAGCCGGUUUUAGUUGACUGAUCUCUGUCGGGCUCUCAUAGAGCCGCCGUUUUCCGCCCCUGCCGCAAGCCGGGCCAUCAUCACUUCCGCCCCGAGUCGCCCGGAUUGGGCCCUGCUACGACCCGCCUCGCCUGUUGUGGCCUGUCUCCAUUGAGACCCGCCGUCGAGCCUGUCUUCACUGCCACUUUGGUUCAAUGCACCCGCCUGGGUUGACCCGUCUGCCGUCGUCACCGCUGUAGCGUGUUUUAAGCUGCCCUCACCAACGCACACUGAGUUGCUGAAAGGCUUGCCGGGCCUGACUGCUGGCUCGUCGCGCCUGUUUUUUUUGCAUGCAUCCCGCGGGUGCGUUGACUGAUCAAAGGACUCCUGCGGUGGUGAGGGAUAGUGGCAACUUCGUUUAUCUGGUCUACAUACGGUUACACAAAGUGCACCCGAAAGGCAGACUGCAAAACACUGGUGUUGCAGAUACAUUAUAUAGUAUUGCUAGUGCUACAUGGAGAUUAAAAACUAAUGCCGUUUCUUCAUCUCAUGAAGACAAAUGAGUUUUUAUGGAUGGAAUUAAAAAAAGAAUAAGCAUUGAAUCAUUGCGGCAAUCACGAAGGCCACAUGGGGUGCUACUGCUACAUCAGCUAGACGUACAUGCAGGCAGUUUAUUUCCUGACCAACUACGUCCAGCAUUAUCCACCAUCAGUGUAUGUAUUGAUUCGAUUAUAAUAUCAGGUGUCAUUUACCCUAUUUAUUUUUAAAGAACAUAUUAAUUCAUUCGAGCACAACUACUCUGCUCUAUGGUGUUUUUUAUAUGCAGGGUAACCAUUUACUACAAAAGUGGCAUUAUACCGCGGAUACAGACCACACCGGCUUACAACGCCGUGACCGUCUCUCGCGACCGCGCUAGUUUACAACGAGGAGGGCAACUUGCCCGUCCGCAUCGACUUACAACGCCGUGGCCGGCUCAUCUGUCUGUUCCUGCGGCCAACUCAGAUGUGAUUAAUUUCAGCUUCACCAUGGUGAUCAUCAAUUCCGUGGUGGAUAAUUACUGGCCUGAAGUAUCAGAUGAAAUCCAUUCAAUAUGUUUUAUAUUACAUAUUAUUUUCUUUAAAAGAGCAAUUACUUUGGCUUGCAAGUUCUCCCAUGCAGGACUCUGAACCGGUCUAUAUCAUGGUCAACUAUGGAGAAUCUCAAGCCAACUCCUCAAGUCGCCUUGAGACUCAGGGGCUAUAAUGACAUGGCUCAGUAAAUGUUGCCUGUUUAAAAGCCGUCAGAAAAUUUCCGGCUCAAAAUGAAGGAUUCCGGUUUAAAAUCCGGUUCAAGGGAAAUCUGUCUCCCACAAAGCUUUAAAGCUCUCAAUAUCCGGUUUAAAAGUUCCGGCUCAAGAAGAAUUUGUCUUUUGCGAAGUUUGAGUUCUCAAAAAAUAUAUAUUAAAGGGACCAAAGAGAGUCUGUUGCAAAGCACACCUCAAACACAAGGUCAUUUGGGGGCUUCCUAUUCAAACAUAUGUCGUAUUCGAAUCAAAGAGAACAUAGCUGUCGGUACCCUCUUGAUCGGAACAAUGCCAAACCCACUAGGGGGCUUCUUGAUCGUAUUCGAAUCAUAGCUUAACCCCUUUUGGGUCCGACUUUCAUCGUAUUCGAAUCAGAGUCGUUAAAAAACUCUCAAGGUCAUUUGGCGGCUUCCUAUUCAAACAUAGGUCGUAUUCGAACCAAAGAGAACAUAGAUGUCGGUACCCUCUUGACCGGCACAACGCCAAAGACACUGGGGGCUACAUGAUCGUAUUCGAAUCCUAGCUUAACCCCUUUGGUCUGGUUUACUGAUCGUAUUCGAAUCAGAAGCCCCGCUUUUUCUCUUUGUUUGACUUAAGUUUUUGAAACAGUCUUUUGGGUUUGUCUUGAGACUUUUUGCUCAUAUCUGAAGCAUAUAUAUGUGGUUUCUAUUAACCCGGCCUGGCUUUCGACGACAAGUCGCCAGCAUAUGAAAUUUUUAAUACUCGGAAGGUUUGGCUUCUAAGUUUUGGGUCAUCACCCUUACUGCGCAGGUGUCAUAAGCCGGUAGUACGAUUAAAUAUCACAGGUAUGAUAUUGAUUAUACAUGAUUAUGUUUAAACCGGACCUGGCUAUGGACUUUAAGCCGCAUGUAUAUUUUGAAAUUGCGCCAUUGGAAUCAUGCGCGUAUCAAUCAUUGGAUUAUUGCCCUUAUUGGAUACGGCGAUAUAAGCCGGUGGUAUGGGCCAAUUCCAUAGGUAUGUUUUCCUGAUUAUAUAAUUAUGCUAGGUUUGAUAACCCGCCCUGGCUUUUGACGUUAAAUCACCAGUAUGUUUAGGCUUGAAUGACCUUAAUUCUUGUCUUUUCCAUACUUGCAUAAAGAAUAUAUUAUGUUUGGGUUGUUACCCGCCCUGGCUUUUGACGUUAAGUCGUCAGGGCGUAUGUUGUUUAAACUCUAUGCAGGAUUUGCAAAACUAUGACUUAUAUAAAUGCUUAAGUCCAAGUUCAUCAUUAAAAUUGAUACUUCAAAAUGAUUAUCUAUUCUGGAUUUUCUCAAAGGCUAUAAGCCCCCGGGUUAUAAAAAUUCCGGCUUACAAUGGAGGCAUAUUAAAUCGCCACCGGCCAAGAGCCGCCGGGUAUUUAAACUCCGGAUUCACUUGUCAACAAAUAAGGUAUUUAAUGUCACUUUGGCGCAAUGACUAUUAUUUUAUCAAUGGAUAUGAUUUAUUAUACAAUGGAAAGAAUAGUCCUGAGUCGCUGCAGGCUUACGACCCGGCACUUGGGGGCUACAUUAUUCCGAUUGAGGUUAUAUCAAAUAUGCAAGUCCCAUGUCACUACCAGCAUGCACCAUGGCACUUGGGGGCUAAUGCAAAGUCAUUUUUUACUUGCCUUAUUGAAGACCCGACUCAUCACAUUGUAAUGAGCCGGCCCUUGGGGGCUACCAAUUUUUCCUGUCAACAAUUCAAGGUACACAAGUCUUGAUCCAUUAUAUUGAAGGGUCCACUCCUCAGUUGGUAAAGCACAAAGCUCUUAACCUUGUGGACAUGGGUUCAAGCCCCAUGAUGGGAGUUACAUCAUAUGAUGUUAUUUUCAAUAAAGUAUAUAUAAAGUCCCAGCUCAGUAUUAUCUUACUGAGCCGCCCCUUGGAGGCCACACAUUGCUGUUAAAGUCUACAUGAUCAUAUCUACAAAGUCCCUGCUCAUUAUUGCAUAAUGACCCGUCCCUUGGGGGCUACACUGGUUGACAUUUUUAUGAGCAUAAGGAAAUUAUAAGUCCCAGGUUGCUGCAAGCAUGACAACCCGGCACUUGGGGGCUACAUAUGUGGAAUAUUUAGUUUUUUACUAGAGACUGAGAUGAACAAAACCGGAUUUCUUCAAGGUUGCAACACUUAUAUUGGAGCAAGUCUUAAGCUAUCACUAUGUUCCCCUCUUAAGACUUGGGGGCUACAGGUAUUAUGCAUACAAAGGAGGAACGUCUUCUAAUUUUAAGUUUUGAGCAAAUUAGGAAGAUCAAUUACAUGAUGCUACCUCUUGAUCUUGCGUUGGUUUUCCCCGAAGAGGAAGGGAUGAUGCAGCAAAGUAGCGUAAGUAUUUCCCUCAGUUUUUGAGAACCAAGGUAUCAAUCCAGUAGGAGGCCACGCUCAAGUCCCUCGUACCUGCACAAAAUGAUAGCUACUCGCAACCAACACGAUUAGGGGUUGUCAAUCCCUUCACGGUCACUUACGAGAGUGAGAUCUGAUAGAUAUAAUAUUUUUGGUAUUUUUGGUAUAAAUAUGCAAAGUAAAAAGUAAAGGCAAAGUAAAAAAGCAAAGCAAGAUUAAAGUGAUGGAGAUUGAUAUGAUGAGAAUAGACCCGGGGGCCAUAGGUUUCACUAGUGGCUUCUCUCAAGAGCAUAAGUAUUCUAUGGUUGGUGAACAAAUUACUGUUGAGCAAUUGACAGAAUUGAGCAUAGUUAUGAGAAUAUCUAGGCAUGAUCAUGUAUAUAGGCAUCAUGUCCGUGACAAGUAGACCGAAACGAUUCUGCAUCUACUACUAUUACUCCACUCAUCGACCGCUAUCCAGCAUGCAUCUAGAGUAUUAAGUUAAAAUAGAGUAACGUCUUAAGCAAGAUGACAUGAUGUACAGAGAUAAAUUCAUUCAGUAUGAAAUAAACCCCAUCUUGUUAUCCUCGAUGGCAACGAUGCAAUACGUGCCUUGCUGCCCCUUCUGUCACUGGGAAAGGACACCGCAAGAUCGAACCCAAAGCUAAGCACUUCUCUCAUGGCAAGAACUACCAAUCUAGUUGGCCAAACCAAACGAAUAAUUCGAAGAGACUUGCAAAGAUAACCAAUCAUACAUAAAAGAAUUCAGAGAAGAUUCAAAUAUUAUUCAUAGAUAGACUUGAUCAUAAACCCACAAUUCAUCGGUCUCAACAAACACACCACAAAAAGAAGAUUACAUUGAAUAGAUCUCCACAAGAGAGGGGGAGAACUUUGUAUUGAGAUCCAAAAAGAGAGAAGAAGCCAUCUAGCUACUAACUAUGGACCCGAAGGUCUGAGGUAAACUACUCACACUUCAUCGGAGAGGCUAUGAUGAUGUAGAAUCCCUCCGUGAUGACGGCCCUCUCCGGCAGAGCUCCAGAACAGGCCCCAAGAUGGGAUCUCGUGGAUACAGAAAGUUGCGGCGGUGGAAUUAGGUUUUUGGCUCCGUCUCUGAUCGUUUGGGGGUACGUAUGUAUAUAUAGGAGGAAGAAGUACAUCGGUGGAGCAUCGAGGGGCCCACGAGGCAGGGGGGCGCGCCCCCCACCCUCGUGACCACCUCUCUGAUGCCUUGGCGUAGGGUCCAAGUCUCCUAGAUCACGUUCGGUGAGAAAAUCACGUUCCCAAAGGUUUCAUUCCGUUUGGACUCCGUUUGAUAUUCCGUUUCUUCGAAACACUGAAAUAGGCAAAAAACAGUAAUUCUGGGCCGGGCCUCCGGUUAAUAGGUUAGUCCCAAAAAUAAUAUAAAAGUGGAAAAUUAAGCCCAAUAUAGUCCAAAACAGUAGAUAAUAUAGCAUGGAGCAAUCAAAAAUUAUAGAUACGUUGGAUACGUAUCAGGCAUCCCCAAGCUUAAUUCCUGCUCGUCCUCGAGUAGGUAAAUGAUAAAAAGAGAAUUUUUUAUGCGGAGUGCUACUUGGCAUAAUUUCAAUGCAAAUCUUCUUAAUUGUGAUAUGAAUAUUCAGAUUCGAAAGAUUCAAGACAAAAGUUUAUAUUGACAUAAAAAUAAUAAUACUUCAAGCAUACUAACAAAGCAAUUAUGUCUUCUCAAAAUAACAUGGCCAAAGAAAGUUAUCCCUACAAAAUCAUAUAGUCUGGCUAUGCUCUAUCUUCACCACACAAAGUAUUUAAAUCUUGCACAACCCCGAUGACAAGCCAAGCAAUUUUUUCAUACUCUAACUUUUUCAAAACUUUUACAAUCUUCACGCAAUACAUGAGUGUGAGCCAUGGAUAUAGCACUAUAGGUGGAAUAGAAUGGUGGUUGUGGAGAAGACAAAAAGAAGAAGAUAGUCUCACAUCAACUAGGCAUAUCAACGGGCUAUGGAGAUGCCCAUCAAUAUAUAUCAAUGUGAGUGAGUAGGGAUUGCCAUGCAAGGGAUGCACUAGAGCUAUAAGUAUAUGAAAUCUCAAAAAGAAACUAAGUGGGUGUGCAUCCAACUUGCAUGCUCAUGAAGAUCUAGGGAAAUUUGAGGAAGCCCAUCAUUGGAAUAUACAAGCCAAGUUCUAUAAUGUAAAAUUCCCACUAGUAUAUGAAAGUGAUAACAUGAGAGACUCUCUACUAUGAAGAUCAUGGUGCUACUUUGAAGCACAAGUGUGGUAAAAGGAUAGUAACAUUGUCCCUUCUCUUUUUUUCUCUCUUUUUUAUUUUUAUUUGGGCCUUUUCUCUUUUUUAUGGCCUCUUUUAUUUGGGCUUCUUUGGCCUCUUUUUUCUAUUUAUUUUAUUUUUCGUCCGGAGUCUCAUCCCGACUUAUGGGGGAAUCAUAGUCUCCAUCAUUCUUUCCUCACUGGGACAAUGCUCUAAUAAUGUUGAUCAUCACACUUUUAUUUUUCUUACAACUCAACAAUUACAACUCAAUACUUAGAACAAAAUAUGACUCUAUAUGAAUGCCUCCGGCAGUGUACCGGGAUAUGCAAUAUGACAAUGAUGGAGUGUGUCAUAAUAAACGGUGGAAAGUUGCAUGGCAAUAUAUAUCGGAAUGGCUAUGGAAAUGCCAUAAUAGGUAGGUAUGGUGGCUGUUUUGAGGAAGGUAUAUGGUGGGUGUAUGAUACCGGUGAAAAGUGCGCGUAUUAGAGAGGCUAGCAAAGGUGGAAGGGUGAGAGUGUGUAUAAUCCAUGGACUCAACAUUAGUCAUAAAGAACUCAUAUACUUAUUGCAAAAAUCUAGAAGUUAUCAAAGCAAAGUAUAACGCGCAUGCUCCUAGGGGGAUAGAUUGGUAGGAAAAGACCAUCGCUCGUCCCCGACCGCCACUCAUAAGGAAGACAAUCAAUAAAUAAAUCAUGCUCCGACUUCAUCACAUAACGGUUCACCAUACGUGCAUGCUACGUGAAUCACAAACUUUAACACAAGUUUUUUUAAAUUCACAACUACUCAACUAGCAUGACUUUAAUAUUAUCACCUCCAUAUCUCAAAACAAUUAUCAUGCUUCAAUCUUUUCUUAGUAUUCAACACACUAAAAAGAAAGUUUCACAAAUCUUGAAUACCAAGCAUAUUAUUAUUAAGAAAAUUACCAUGCUAUUAAGACUCUCAAAAUAAUUUAAGUGAAGCAUGAGAGAUCAAUAGUUUCUUUAAAACAAAUCCACCACCGUGCUCUAAAAGAUCUAAGUGAAGCACAUAGAGCAAAAUUAUAACGCUCAAAAGAUAUAAGUGAAGCACAUAGAGUAUUCUAUCAAAUUUUAAUUCAUGUAUGGCUCUCUCAAAAGGUGUGUACAGCAAGUAUGAUUGUGGCAUACUAAGACACAGAGACACAAAUAAUACAAGAGCUCCAAGCAAAACACAUAUCAUGUUGCUGAAUAAAAAUAUAACUCCAAGUAAAUUACCGAUGGAAAUGGACGAAAGAGGGGAUGCCUUCCGGGGCAUCCCCAAGCUUUGACUUUUUGGUGUCCUUGUAUUAUAUUUGGGGUGCCAUGGGCAUCCCUAAGCUUAGGCUCUUGCCACUCCUUGUUCCAUAAUCCAUCAAAAGAAUUCACCCAAAACUUGAAAACUUCACAACACAAAACUUAAAGUAGAAAACUCGUGAGCUCCGUUAGUGAAAGAAAACAAAAGACCACUUCAAGGUACUGUAAUGAACUCAUUCUUUAUUUAUAUUAGUGUUAAACCUACUUUGUUCCAACUUCUCUAUGGAUUAUAAACUAUUUUACUAACCAUAGAUUCAUCAAAAUAAGCAAACAACACACGAAAUACAGAAUCUUUCAAAAACAGAACAGUCUGUAGUAAUCUGUAGCUAGCGCAAGAUCUGGAACACCAAAAAUUAUAAAAUAAAUUUCUGGACGUGAGGAAUUUAUCUAUUAACCAUCUGCAAAAAGAAUUAACUAAAUAGCACUCUUCAAAUAAAAAUUACAGCAGUUCUCGUGAACGCUAAAGUUUCUGUUUUUUACAGCAAGUUCAACAAAACUUUCCCCAAGUCUUCCCAACGGUUCUACUUGGCACAAACACUAAUUAAACACAAAAAACACAACAAAAACAGAGGCUAAAUAAUUUAUUUAUUGAAUAACAGCAAGUAAAAAUAUUGGGUUGUCUCCCAACAAGCGCUUUUCUUUAAAGCCUUAUAGUUAGGCACUGCUAAUUUUAAUGAUGCUCACAAGAAAGACAAGAAUUGAAGCACAAAAGGAGCAUCAUAAAGCAUGUGACAAACACAUCUAAGUCUAACAUACUUCCUAUGCAUAGGCAUCUUAAAGGCAAACAAAUUAUCAUAGCAAGCAAAAACUGGCAUAUGCAAGGAAGCGGAAAGAAAUAAUAGCAAUCUCAACAUAACGAGAGGUAAUUUAGUAACAUGAAAAUUUCUACCACCAUAUUUUCCUCUCUCGUAAUAAUUAUAUAUAGGAUCAUAAGCAAAUUCAACAAAAUAGCUAUCACAUAAAAUAUUUUCAACACGAUCCACAUGCAUGCAAAGUUGACACUCUUUCAAAAUAGUGGGAUUAACAUUAACUAAAGUCAUGACCUUUCCAGACCCACUUUUAUCAAAAAUUUCAUAAGAUUGAUCAUUCUCCAAAUUUGUGGGAUCUAAAGUUGAUACUCUUCCAAACCCCCUUUCAGUAAUAUUGCAAACACUAUUAUCAAUCAUAUUCAUUAUGGGGCUUAAAUAAAUUUUCAAUAUCAUAAGAAGAAUCACCCCAAUCAUGAUCAUUGCAACAAGUAGAGGACAUAGCAAAACUAGCAUCUCCAAGCUUAGGGUUUUGCAUAUUAUUAGCACAAUUGACAUCAAGAGAGUUUAUAGUAAAAUCAUUGCAAUCAUGCUUUUUAUUCAAAGAUCUAUCAUGAAUCGCUUCAUAAAGUAAUUCAUCACACUUUUCAGAUUCACGAAUUUCAAGCAAAACUUCAUAAAGAUAAUCUAGUGCACAAAACUCACUAGCAAUUGGUUCAACAUAACUGGAUCUCUUAAAAAGAUUAGCAAGCGGAUGAGGAUCCAUAAAUCUUAGGUUCUCUGUUUAGUAAUAAAUAAACGACUAUUCCAACCAUACGAGCAAACAAGAAACGGGCAAAAAAGGCAAAUAGAGAAAGAGAGGGAGGAUAGAGAGAGAGGGCGAAUAAAACAGCGAGGGUGAAGUGGGGGAGAGGAAAACGAGAGGCAAAUGGCAAAUAAUGUAAUGCGAGAGAUAGGGAUUGUGAUGGGUACUUGGUAUGUUGACUUUUUGUGUAGACUCCCCGGCAACGGCGCCAGAAAUCCUUCUUGCUACCUCUUGAGCUUGUGUUGGUUUUCCCCGAAGAGGAAGGGAUGAUGCAGCAAAGUAGCGUAAGUAUUUCCCUCAGUUUUUGAGAACCAAGGUAUCAAUCCAGUAGGAGACCAUGCUCAAGUCCCUCGUACCUGCACAAAAUGAUAGCUACUCGCAACCAACGCGAUUAGGGGUUGUCAAUCCCUUCACGGUCACUUACGAGAGUGAGAUCUGAUAGAUAUAAUAUUUUUGGUAUUUUUGGUAUAAAGAUGCAAAGUAAAAAGUAAAGGCAAAGUAAAAAGAAAAGCAAGAUUAAAGUGAUGGAGAUUGAUAUGAUGAGAAUAGACCCGGGGGCCAUAGGUUUCACUAGUGGCUUCUCUCAAGAGCAUAAGUAUUCUAUGGUGGGUGAACAAAUUACUGUUGAGCAAUUGACAGAAUUGAGCAUAGUUAUGAGAAUAUCUAGGCAUGAUCAUGUAUAUAGGCAUCACAUCCGUGACAAGUAGACCGAAACGAUUCUGCAUCUACUACUAUUACUCCACUCAUCGACCGCUAUCCAACAUGCAUCUAGAGUAUUAAGUUAAAACAGAGUAACGCCUUAAGCAAGAUGACAUGAUGUAGAGAGAUAAAUUCAUGCAAUAUGAAAUAAACCCCAUCUUGUUAUCCUCGAUGGCAAUGAUGCAAUACGUGCCUUGCUGUCCCUUCUGUCACUGGGAAAGGACACCCCAAGAUCGAACCCAAAGCUAAGCACUUCUCCCAUGUCAAGAACUACCAAUCUAGUUGGCCAAACCAAACGGAUAAUUCGAAGAGACUUGCAAAGAUAACCAAUCAUACAUAAAAGAAUUUAGAGAAGAUUCAAAUAUUAGUCAUAGAUAGACUUGAUCAUAAACCCACAAUUCAUCGGUCUCAUCAAACACACCGCAAAAAGAAGAUUACAUCGAAUAGAUCUCCAUAAGAGAGGGGGAGAACUUUGUAUUGAGAUCCAAAAAGAGAGAAGAAGCCAUCUAGCUACUAACUAUGGACCCGAAGGUCUGAGGUAAACUACUCACACUUCAUCGGAGAGGUUAUGAUGAUGUAGAAGCCCUCCGUGAUGACGGCCCUCUCCGGCGGAGCUCCGGAACAUGCCCCAAGAUGGGAUCUCGUGGAUACAUAAAUUUGCGGCGGUGGAAUUAGGUUUUUGGCUCCAUCUCUGAUCAUUUGGGGGUAUGUAUGUAUAUAUAGGAGGAAUAAGUAUGUCGGUGGAGCAUCAAGGGGCCCACGAGGCAGGGGGGCGCAUCCUAGGGGGGGGGGCGCCCCCACCCUCGUGACCGCCUCUCUGAUGCCUUGGAGUAGGGUCCAAGUCUCCUGGAUCACGUUCGGUGAGAAAAUCACGUUCCCGAAGGUUUCAUUCCGUUUGGACUCCGUUUGAUAUUCCGUUUCUUCGAAACACUGAAAUAGGCAAAAAACAGCAAUUCUGGGUUGGGCCUCCGGUUAAUAGGUUAGUCCCAAAAAUAAUAUAAAAGUGGAAAAUUAAGCCCAAUAUAGUCCAAAACAGUAGAUAAUAUAGCAUGGAUCAAUCAAAAAUUAUAGAUACGUUGGAGACGUAUCACAUGACCCGUUGUCAGACAACAAUUAUGACCCGGCAUUGUCUAUUUUAUAACCCGGCAAUUUUAGUAAUGAUAAACCGGCAAGUUUUACAUCUUCAAGCUGGCUGAAAGUCAGAUGAGUAUUUCAAAACCAAUAUUUUUUUAAACCGUCGCUUUGGAAGCUAAUUCAAGUGGAUUAUUUCUUACAAAAUUUCUCUAUAAGAGACCAGUGUCAACAAAUUGACUCUGAAGCUGGCUUAUUGACCCAGAUUUUUUAGAAGAAGGAAAUGAUAAGGAGUUAAGGAUGAUCAGGUGCCGGCUUACAAGAAUAUUUAACCCGGAGCACAACCUGUCAAAUUUGUUCUUGAGUUAUUUUGCAGGAUCAGUUUAACAUGGAUAAAUCCAAAUUAAACUUGGGGCUAAUGUCGGGGAUAUACCCCGCGGUGUAACCCACCAGAUGUAUGACCCGGCUGGAGCGUGGCGACUCACUGGUGACUCGUCCGGAGCUUGGCGAUUCACAGAUAACCCACCCGAUCUUAGCGACUCAUUAGUAACCAGGCGGGCGGGUCAGAUGGACAACAAGGCCCAAAGCCCAGAAGGCCGGCUCACGUUAUGAUGGGCUGGCUUAAGAGGAAAGGGAUGACGAAUAUUUCCUUUACGAGGAAGCAAGACCCGGACUUGUAUUCAACUUGUAAGAAAAGAUAGACGAUUCCUAGUCCUACUAGGACUCCACAUGUAACCCGCCCCUCAAACUUAUAUAGGAAGGGGCAGGGCUCUCCAAGAGGGACAAGUAAGAAGAAACAAUCUCUAGGGCUAGACACAAAGAGCCGGCUUACCGGCGACUCCCUCAUGAUCAUAAUGAGACCUAGCCACAAACAACAUGUAGGGCUAUUACCGGAUGAUGUUUCCCAGGGCCCGAAGCUGUCUAAAUCCUUGUCUUGUGUUGCUAUCUCGAUUCCGCUCAACCCCUCUCAAGCUACUACAAAGAUGCGUUGGCCUCACGACUAAGUCCUCACAGUAGGACAUCUGUCGUGACAAUUCCACGACACCAUGGGUUGGGAAAUUCCCUAGCAUCAUUUUCAUUCUUUCCCAAGAUUGCGCAACAUGCUCAUGUUCAAGUUGCUUGAAAUUCAUGAUAUGGGUUCUAAGGGAAAUAAUUUUUGUGGGAGGAAAAUACUUAGUGAUAAAAGCAUCUUUGCAGUUAUUCCAAGAAUCAAUACUAUUGCGAGGCAAAGAAGAGAACCAAAUUUUUGCAGAAUCACGCAAAGAGAACGGAAAUAAUUUCAUCUUGACCAUGUCAUUAUCCAUAUCUUUUUUUGCAUAUCGCAUAAUUCCACAAAGGUAUUAAUAUGGGACACCACAUCCUCAUUAGGAGUACCGGAAAAUUGGUCUUUCAUAACAAGGUUCAGCAAAGCAAUAUUAAUAUCACAAGUCUCCGCACUAGUGGCGGGAGGAGCAAGCGGAGUGCCAAUAAAAUCAUUGUUGUUGGUAUUUGAGAAAUCACAUAACUUGGUGUUCUCUUGAGUCAUGAUGACCACACAACAAGAUUGCACUCAAAAAUAGAUCCGACAAGAAAACAGCGAAUGGAACAAGAGGGGCAAAUAACACAGCAUAUUUUUAUGAAGUGGGGGAGAGGAAAACGAGAGGAAAAUGGAAAAUAAUAUAAAUUGCAAGGUGACGGUGUCCUGAACUAGGGGGUACUCACCAUGUCGUCUCCCGAUCUGUUAGAUUGGGCCGAGGACCCCCAUGGCCGUAUACUCAUGGGCCAGCUCGGGCAGCUGCCGCAUACAUGGAAGAUUUCACAAGACUUGGUGAUCAAGACAAGGACUCCUCCCCACCGGCGUAUUCGGCUAGGACUCUUGUUAUCCUAGGCCUCUAGUGCAUUAUAUAAACCGGGGCCAGGCUAGUUGAUAGAUAAUAUACAACAAUCAUACCACAGGCUAGCUUCUAGGGUUUAGCCUCUCCGAUCUCGUGGUAGAUCAACUCUUGUAAUACUCAUAUCAUCAUGAAUAAAUCAAGCAGGACGUAGGAUUUUACCUCCAUUAAGAGGGCUCAAACCUGGGUAAACAUCGUGUCCCCUGCCUCAUGUUACCAUCCGCCUUAGACGCACAGUUGGGAACCUCCUACCCGAGAUCUGCCAGUUUUGACACCGACAUUGGUGCUUUCAUUGAGAGUUCCGCUGUGUGAUCGGCAAAAGGAUCGAUGGCUCGUCUGCAGGUCAACUGCGAUGCUGGCAUCUUCGUCGUCGGCUCGACUGGUCACCUUGGCUCGACCGAGGACCGUGCUCCAUCUCCGAUCGUCAUGCUCGGACGAGGGUCUUCAUCAAAAUCAACUCCGAUCUCUAUCAAGAUCAUGGACGAAUCAUCCAUGGAGCUCGAGGGCUCAACGUCAACAUUGCCCUCGGGCGACCGUGCUGUUUUUCUGAACUGCAAACUUGUAUCCGCUGCCACUACCUCUUACAGCAUCGCUUUGACGAUCCCUUUGGUGGAAUUGUGCAAAAUUGGGUCUGCAAUAGCCAUGCAAAAUUUCGUCGAGUUCCGAUGGAGGAAUCUCCCACAAUCUACGAUAUACCAGAGCCCUGUCAAAUCUGGACGAGAAUCUGGACGAGUUUAGGUCGUGGUCUCCAGAGCCUAGCUCGGAGGUCCUUUGGAAGAUCCAACCGUUCAUCUACUGCGAACUUCCCAUAUCUACCACCCCUCCCAAUUUCAGCUCGAUCCGACGGUUCAAACUCCGGGAACCUUCUAAUGAGUGGGUCAAUUUUCGGAUCCGUUUUCUGCGCCAAUACGGAUCUGACCGGAAUUCAUGUUUCUUUAUGAACGUGACAAUGGACAACCUUUUUAGAGGAAUUCUAUUCUAGGGUAUUGUGUGUUGUUUUUAAACACGCGCUCGUAAAUUUUUAAGCCUCCCCUGAGGUCGCCUUCAUCAUCAUGCUGGUGUCAAACCAGUCCGGGAUAUUGCUCCAAGGCUGCCGACCUGCGCUAGACACGUUGUCACUUUGUUGAGCCGAGCUCAACUUCUUCGAAUCAUCAUCUCGGCAAGCCGAACAAAAGUCCGGCAUCGCGAAGGAUAAAUCAUCACCAACAACGCCGCCCCACGGAUUACAUGGAGCGGGCAUACCGGCAACGCCGCACGGUCACUUCAUCAAGCCGGCAUCGACCACGUCAUGACCUGCAUCGGCAGGGCCGCACUGUUGCUUCUUCAAGCUAGUGUCCAUCACGCCGACCUACUUCGACUCAUCGGCUGACAUCGAGGCUUCGACAUCUCGGCUGGACCGGGGGCUUCGCCAUCUCUUCAUCAACCUACUCCGGAGACUUUGGCGUCACUAGCCGACCAGCUCUAUCAUGUUAGCUGGACCGAGGGCUUUGCCUCGGCGAGCCAACCUUUGCCAGCAUCGCCAUACCGUCGCUUUAUCGCCCGUCAGGCAAUGGGUGUGCGGAUCGAGUCCCAACUUUGGGAAUCACCUUUCUUCGGAUUGCUACAACAAAUAAACUAAGUGCUAUUAAUCCUAGUAUUUUUUUGCUUGUUUGGGUUUAUUUUUCCCAAGGAAUUAUUACUCUGGUUUGUCCAUCAUCUGUACACAGGUCUACCAAAUGAUUGUCGCAUUAACGACGGUCGCGUGGUGGUUCGGUUAGUUUCAGUACAUUGUCCGGCGAAAGCCACAUCCGGAACUCGGACCGACCUGUGAAUUCAGGCUUUGCCACACCUUUACCGCAUCACGCCGACGCCCUGCAUCGACAUUGACUUCGGCGCCAGGCCAUAUUUCUUUUAUUACUCACUUUGCAUAAAUUACUUAUAAUGCAACGAUUUUUUGUUUUAAAUUAUUAUUAUUACUAUUAUCUCCGGUUUGCACUAUUUUUUGUGCACAGGAAAAUGAUCUGGUGACUUCGUCGUCACUCUGCCGGUCUGCAUUGACUGUGCUAUGUGACCACUUCGGCGUGUCGAGCUCUCCGCUCCGCCACCUCGGGACCGGUUUGGGGGAUGGAACCUUGUCCCGCAUCAAGCUCGGACCACGUCAUCAAUGCCAAACACAUUAACCAGCUAAGUCGCUUUCAUGCUCAAAGUUUUAAUUUUUAACUUGUGUUCGGUUCGACCUAGCAUUAUACUUUUUUGGAAAAAAGUUGCUUGUAAAAAAUUUCCUUUUCCAAACUUUGUUUCUGACACACAUAUUGAAAUACCCCGUUUAUUUGGGGGCUUCCUUUAUGAAGUUUUUCCUCUUGCAUAUGAUUAUACUUGUACGGCUUCGUUCCUUGUUCGUGUAUUACGCCAUAAUAUGCACCAUAUUGACUUAAGCGAUUUGCAAGCUGGGUUGCCUGGCUCCUGUGCUUACCCCUACGUUCCCGAUUGUUCGGCUAGGGAGUAAAGGGAGCACCUCUGCGAUUGUCACGACCGGGUCCUCCGAGCUCUGACCUUAGACUGGGUGAAGCCGAAAGCUAGCGAUCUUAUUGUUUUCAAUCAUGGUCGGCACACAACGGAACUCAUGAGUACAAAAAAUCUAUUGCACAAGUCUCAUAGCAAUAAUGAGCACCGAAGAAAGGUAUCGGUGGGGGUACUAUUUUAUUUGAAGAUGCUUCUUACACUUCGUCUGUAAUAUAGCAUAAGUUCUCUGAGCGCGCUUUGUCUGUUACAGCCUUAUGGCCCGGUUGCCUGGUUAUCGGAAACACUGUCGAUAUUCUUGACAGGUGGAGUACAUAACACUUUUAGGUCCUUGACCGAAGAGGGAGAAGCCGACGGUCGGUUAAGACGCGUUUAAGUUUGGUUGAACAAAGAUAUGAUAUAAGUACUUCGGUACGUACAAUCAUUAUACAUAAAAUUCUUUUACCCAAGUCACUUGAGGGCUCUUAAAAUUUAUAUGAGCUAUUUUAUAGUAAAUGUGUUUUCUUCUAGGUCGUUGCAAAGUCUUUUUCUAUCGCUCCUUUUUCAACGUGAGUGUGUGGUCAAUAGCCAGAUAACUCAUUUUCUCUCUAAUGACUACUCGAGGUUAGUUCACUAAACUGGUCUAACGAGAAGCACUCCGCCUUCGGGAUAGGUGGCUGCAGCCGUAGGCUGACCCGCUUGAAGUCUUGAGAUCGGAUGUGUAAUAUUAAUGCAUGACAGAAGCACAAUUUUUUACCCAAUUUUUGGAUUGGCACCGAACACUUUAUCCGGAUUGGCACCGAACACUUGAUCUUGUUCGGACGUCAAGUUUUUACUGACGUUUUUUUUGUUUUCCAAGCUUAUGGCACUUUUAAACUAUUUGUGUGUUUCCAACACAAGUCUCACAGUGCAAUGUCGGACACCUUUAUAGAUUCGGCAAAAACAUUCUCGGAUCUCACUAUAUAUGCAUUGGUUUCGAAUUGUGUCUUCGGUCAAUAGUUGGGUUGCCCGGCUCCUUCGCUUGCCUCCUACGUUCCGCUUUGUUUGGCUAGGUGUGCAAAGGGAGAACCACUGCGAUUUUGCUUCCAGCUCACAUGGUUAAGCACCUCAGUGGAGAAAACCGAAAACUGUCUGUCACAAUAAGCAUAAACUAGUCAGCAAUCCGAUGACGGUGUUAAAUGACUGGCCAUUCAUAACAUUGGCCGAAUUGUUUACGGCUUGACCUCGACUGUCACCGAAUUCUACCGGGGGCUAGUAACUGGCCUCCCAAACUAAAUCCUCAAUAUUUUGCUCUUACAUUAGAGCUGAGGUUUCAUGAUCAUGCUCAGCACGACAACCCAAAGAAAGGAACCGAUAGCGGGAUUAUUUUCUUUGGAAGACAUUUAUUAUGUUAAACAGUGAUAUAACAUAUCUCUCUACGUACCUUUGUUUAUAAAACCGUAUGGCCAGAUUGCCUUGUUUGUCGUAAUCUUUUCCCUCAUAAAGGCCUUAUAAAGUAGGACAAACACUCCUCGGUUACUGGCCGAGGAGGUGGAAGCCGAUGGUCGGUCAACAAAGUUUUGUACAAUGCGGAUUCGAUCAUUAAUGAUGUAAAAUACUUGGAUACAUAGAAUCAUUACACAUAAUUUGUGAUUUUACUCUGGAUAUUGAUCCUUAAUUCGGCCACAUGUGCCCGCAUUAAGGCUCGGGGGCUACUGGGCUUCCGGCUUAUCAUUUACUAAUUUUAAAGGGGCGUAUCAAUCCCCUGAUCUGGUGUUGCCACCCGACCAGUGUCUCGGGGGCUACUGCAUUGGCAAUCCAGUGUAGAAAAUUUAAGUGCAAUAUAGUUUUCGAGGAUAUUAUGAUCCUCAGGUUGGUCGGCCGCACCCAACCUGAGUCUCGAGAACUCUGCACACCGCUUUUUGUGUCCUGGAGUAUUCUGCUGAGCUAGGAGUUGAUCCUCAGACUGAUUUUGCAAAUUAACCUGAGUCUCAGCGGCUACUGGGAUCAGCGGUCUUAUGUCAUCCUUCAGGUGCAUCUCGGGUUUUAGACCGAUACACACCUUGAGGGCUACUAGCUAUAUAUCUCGGUAGAGAAUAAAUUGCACCAAUCAAAAAUAUUGACAAAAAUUGGCCCACGGUCGGGGUGGUGCACCACCUCGGAAGCAGUCCGGCAUAAAGUGAAGGAAAUAUGCCCUAGAGGCAAUAAUAAAGUUAUUAUUUAUUUCCUUAUAUCAUGAUAAAUGUUUAUUAUUCAUGCUAGAAUUGUAUUAACCGGAAACAUAAUACAUGUGUGAAUACAUAGACAAACAGAGUGUCACUAGUAUGCCUCUACUUGACUAGCUCGUUAAUCGAAGAUGGUUAUGUUUCCUAACCAUAAACAAAAGAGUUGUUAUUUGAUUAACGGGAUCACAUCAUUAGGAGAAUGAUGUGAUUGACAUGACCCAUUCCAUUAGCUUAGCACCCGAUCGUUUAGUAUGUUGCUAUUGCUUUCUUCAUGACUUAUACAUGUUCCUAUGACUAUGAGAUUAUGCAACUCCCGUUUGCCGGAGGAACACUUUGUGUGCUACCAAACGUCACAACGUAACUGGGUGAUUAUAAAGGAGCUCUACAGGUGUCUCCAAAGGUACAUAUUGGGUUGGCGUAUUUCGAGAUUAGGAUUUGUCACUCCGAUUGUCGGAGAGGUAUCUCUGGGCCCUCUCGGUAAUGCACAUCACAUAAGCCUUGCCAGCAUUGCAACUAAUGAGUUAGUUGUGAGAUGAUGUAUUACGGAACGAGUAAAGAGACUUGCUGGUAAUGAGAUUGAACUAGGUAUUAAGAUACCGACGAUCGAAUCUCGGGCAAGUAACAUACCGAUGACAAAGGGAACAACGUAUUUUGUUAUGCGGUUUGACCGAUAAAGAUCUUCAUAGAAUAUGUAGGAGACAAUAUGAGCAUCCAGGUUCCGCUAUUGGUUAUUGACCGGAGACGUGUCUUGGUCAUGUCUACAUUGUUCUCGAACCCGUAGGGUCCGCACGCUUAAGGUUUCGAUGACAGUUAUAUUAUGAGUUUGUGCAUUUUGAUGUACCGAAGUUUGUUCGGAGUCCCGGAUGUGAUCACGGACAUGACGAGGAGUCUCGAAAUGGUCGAGGCAUAAAGAUUGAUAUAUUGGAAGCCUAUAUUUGGACAUCGGAAGUGUUCCAGGUGAAAUCAGGAUUUUACCGGAGUACCGGGAGGUUACCGGAACCCCCCGGGAGGUAUAUGGGCCUUAGUGGGCUUUAGUGGAAGAGAGGAGAGGUGGCCAGGGCUGGGCCGCGCGCCCCUCCCCCCUAGUCGGAAUAGGACAAGGAGAGGGGGCCGGCGCCCCCUUCCUUCUCUCUCUCCUCUUUCCCCCCUCCCGAAUCCUAUUCCAACUAGGAAAGGGGGGGCAAUCCUACUCCCGGAGGGAGUAGGACUCCUCCUGGCGCGCCCUCUCCUGGCCGGCCGCACCCCCCUUUGAUCCUUUAUAUACGGAGGCAGGGAGCACCCCUAGACACAUAAGUUGAUCCACGUGAUCAUAUUCUUAACCGUGUGCGGUGCCCCCUUCCACCAUAGUCCUCGAUAAUAUUGUAGCGGUGCUAAGGCGAAGCCCUGCGACGGUAGUACAUCAAGAUCGUCACCACGCCGUCGUGCUGACGGAACUCUUCCCCGAAACUUUGCUGGAUCGGAGUCUGGCGAUCGUCAUCGAGCUGAACGUGUGCUAGAACUCGGAGGUGCCGUAGUUUCGAUGCUUGAUCGGUCGGGCCGUGAAGACGUACGACUACAUCAACCACGUUGUGAUAACGCUUCCGUUGUCGAUCUACAAGGGUACGUAGAUCACACUCUCCCCUCUCGUUGCUAUGCAUCACCAUGAUCUUGUGUGUGCGUAGGAAUUUUUUUGAAAUUACUACGAAACCCAACAUAAAGCUCGGGCGCUAGUGGCUGGCUCCAUAGAGGGCAUUUCCAGCAUUAAUGUAACGCCCUCGAUGCGGCUAUAUCUCCCACGUGUCGAAGCACGACUUAGAGUCAUAACCGCAUUGAAAGCAAUGCCGCAAGUGAGGUAAUCUUCACACAACCCAUGUAAUACAUAAGGGAAAAGAUACAUAGUUGGCUUACAAUCGCCACUUCACACAAAUACAUAAAUAAAGCAUUACAUCAUCCAGAUACAAUCAAGGUCCGACUACGGAACCCAAAAUAAAAGAAGAACCCCAAAUGUGACACGGUCCCCGAUCGACCCCAACUGGGCUCCACUACUGAUCAACUAGAACGAAACAACACAAAGGCCAAGAUCUUCAACGAGCUCCUCCCGAGCUGGGUUGCAUCAUCUACACGGGCUCAUCGGCACCUGCAAGCUGGUUUUGGAAGUAUCUGUGAGCCACAGGGACUCAGCAAUCUCGCACCCUCGCGAUCAAGACUAUUUAAGCUUAUGGGUAAGGUAAAGGUAUGAGGUGGAGCUGCAGCAAGCGACUAGCAUAUAUGGUGGCUAACAUACGCAAAUGAGAGCGAGAAGAGAAGGCAAAGCACGGUGGAUAAAAGUAUGAUCAAGAAGUGAUCCUAGACAACCUACGUCAAGCAUAAAUCCAACACCGUGUUCACUUCCCGGACUCCGCCGGAAAGAGACCGUCACGGUUACACACGCGGUUGAUACAUUUUAAUAAAGGUCAACUUCAGGUUUUCUACAACCGGACAUUAACAAAUUCCCAUCUGCCCAUAACCACGGGCAUGGCUUUCGAAAGUUCAAAUCCCUACAGGGGUGUCCCAACUUAGCCCAUCACAAGCUCUCACGGUCAACGAAGGAAUAGACCUCCUCCCGAGACAUUCCGAUCAGACUCGGUAUCCCGGUUCUACAAGACAUUUCGACAGGGUAAAACUAAACCAGCACACCGCCCGAAUGUGCCGACAAAUCCCGAUAGGAGCUGCACAUAUCUCUUUCUCAGGGCACACUCAGAUUGUCCUAGGUACGGGUAGGCCAGCCCAGAGUUGCCCCUGGUGGCCACCGGCAGCUGACAGGUUGGACCAACACUCAGAAGAGCACUGGCCCGGGGGGGUAAAAUAAUGAUGACCCUCAGGAGCGCGACUCCCAAGGGAAAAGAAAAGGCUAGGUGGCAAAUGGUAAAACCAAUGUUGGGCAUUGCUGGAGAAGUUUUACUCAAGGCGAACUGUCAAGGGGUUCCCAUAAUAGCCCAACCGCGUAAGGAACGCAAAAUCCGGGAACAUAACACCGAUAUAACGGAAACUAGGGCGGCAAGAGUGGAACAAAACACCAGGCAUAAGGCCGAGCCUUCCACCCUUUACCAAAUAUAUAGAUGCAUUAAUUAAAUUAAGAUAUAUUGUGAUAUCCCAACAAGUAAACAAUGUUCCAACAAGGAACGAUCUCCAUGUUCCAACAAGGAAGAAACUUCAAUCUUCACCUGCAACUAACAACGCUAUAAGAGGGGCUGAGCAAAGCGGUAAUAUAGCCAAAUAACGGUUUGCUAGGACAAGGUGGGUUAGAGGCUUGGUUCAACAAUAUGGGAGGCAUGAUAAGCAAGUGAUAGGUAUCGCAGCAUAAGCAUAGCAAAAGAGCGAGCAACUAGCAAGCAAAGAUAGAAGUGAUCUGGAGGGUAUGGUCAUCUUGCCUGAAAUCCCGCAAGGAAGAAGAACGAGUCCAUGAAGAAGACAAACGGACGAAGACGAACGGGCCCUCACAACGCGACGUUACCGGAACCAACCCGAAGAAGCAAACACCGGAAAGAAGCACACAACAUAGUAAACAACCAGCACAUGAACAUAGUAUGAUAUGCGAGAUGCGGUUUGCGAUGCACAUGCAUGAUUUGCAAGGGAAUGAAUGAACCUGGCCUCAACUUGGAAAUCCAAGUGUGCCACUGGAAAGAUGAGAUGAAAUCUCUUGAAAACGAUAUAAAGAUCACCGGAAUCGGAGUUACGGUUUGGAAAUGGCAAACAAUUCAAAUAUGACCAUGUUCUGCAAUUUACAGCAAGUAGUCAUCUAAAUGCAACAAGAUGAACAUGCUACAUCACCCAAACAUGACAACAAAAUACAUGGCAGGGAUGCAUUCAUGAUGCUUAACAAAAGUCUAGCACUGAGCUACGGCCAAUUCAUCCAUUAACAGGUUCAAACAAGCAUGGCAAAAAUGCAAUUGGUAAACAGAUUUCAGACUUAGUGAAAUUAACACUUGUCUGGAAUUUCAGAUCAGGUAGCACUCUUCGGAGCAAUAAAACUAUAUGCUACAGGAACUGAACAUGGCAAAGUAAAGCAUGUCAUGGAGCUACUCAAAGAUCUUAACAAAAGUCCCUUAGUGACCUUGAGCCAAAAGGGAUCAGAAAAUACAAUUGCAAGCAUGUGAACAUGGCAAAAACAUAAUCAGUUCUCAGACUUAGUGAAAACUGGAGCAUGCUGAAACAGAUAUCAAGUAGGCAUGUUUACGAGCUCGAUACACUUACUAUAGAGAAAGUCAUGACAAUCUAAGCAUACAACCAUCAAGAAUACACAAAAUACAAGCUAGGCAUGACAAGAACAAUAACAUGGCAUGCAUGGAUCAACCACAACAUCAUCGGCAAAAUCGCUAACAAGUAGACAAUCUGCCCAGAUUCAUGAAAUAGCAAAAGUAGAGCUCGAUUGACUCAAGCUAGGGUGCUCCAUAAUUGCAAACAAAGGCAUGGAUGGAUAAAGCACUACAAGGUUAACAAAACAUCCUUACUGAUCAUCCUCAAAAUAGGCACAGAUCACUAGGAAACAACAUAAACAUAUGGCAAUAUGAGAUAAACAGCUCAAGGACUUAGUGGAAAUGAUAAGUCCCUGAAAUCAGCAUUACCAAGUGCCUCACUUUGCAAGCUUGAGCUAGUCACCACACAUAUCACAAAAAUACAUGGGUUGCACCUCUAGAUAGAUGGCAAAACCCUUAACAAAACAUAUGAAGAGCUCAUGGGCAUAACAUGCACACAAUAAUCAUGGCAAAAAUGAUAAAUAUCUAAAUGGAGCAGCAGAUCUGACAAUUAUCUCAACUAGCACUCUUCUAACAGCAUUUAGGGCACCAAGAUAAACUCAAAUGAAAAUGAUGCAAUGAGAUGAAAUGAUGUACUCUCUGAGCGAACAUUUUGAUAUGCUACACGCUCAAAUCGGAGCCACGGAUGAUGAGAUACAAUGCAAUGAAGAUUGCAAAAAAAAUAUGAGAGAGGGAGAGUAAGUCAACCCUAGAGAAUUUGGAUCCAGAUCUGCACGUGGUUCGAGGCCGACCGGCGCCUCACGCCGGAGACGAGGAAGGAGAGGGCAGGGGCGAUUCCGGGGAGGUCACAGGCGGCGGGCCCGGCCGGAGUUGAGGAAGAAGCGGGCGGCGGGGCGCGCGGACCCGGGACACUCCGGUGGCCGGCGACGGGUGCUCGGCGGCGAUCCGGCAAGGUGAGCGCGCGGCGGCGGCGGCCUCAGGUGCGUUCCGGCAAGGAGGCGGUGAAACGCGGGACGAGAUGCGCGGGCGCUCAGCGGUNNNNNNNNNNNNNNNNNNNNNNNNNNNNNNNNNNNNNNNNNNNNNNNNNNNNNNNNNNNNNNNNNNNNNNNNNNNNNNNNNNNNNNNNNNNNNNNNNNNNNNNNNNNNNNNNNNNNNNNNNNNNNNNNNNNNNNNNNNNNNNNNNNNNNNNNNNNNNNNNNNNNNNNNNNNNNNNNNNNNNNNNNNNNNNNNNNNNNNNNNNNNNNNNNNNNNNNNNNNNNNNNNNNNNNNNNNNNNNNNNNNNNNNNNNNNNNNNNNNNNNNNNNNNNNNNNNNNNNNNNNNNNNNNNNNNNNNNNNNNNNNNNNNNNNNNNNNNNNNNNNNNNNNNNNNNNNNNNNNNNNNNNNNNNNNNNNNNNNNNNNNNNNNNNNNNNNNNNNNNNNNNNNNNNNNNNNNNNNNNNNNNNNNNNNNNNNNNNNNNNNNNNNNNNNNNNNNNNNNNNNNNNNNNNNNNNNNNNNNNNNNNNNNNNNNNNNNNNNNNNNNNNNNNNNNNNNNNNNNNNNNNNNNNNNNNNNNGGGCCGGCUGCGGGCCCCGCGGGCCGGGCGGCGGUGCGCGGUGGCGGAGGCCACGUGGUAGGCGUUGAGAGGCUGGGAACGGCGGCAGAGCUGACGUGUCGCCUCCCGGUUGGCCGGGGCGACGUGGCGGCGGGGUGGACGCGUCCGCCGGCGAGACGGACAUGUCCGGCGGCGCGAUGGAGAAGAAGGUUAGGGUUUCAUCCGCAAAAAUUUCGGGGAUGGCCACAUAUUUAUAGGUAGAGGGAGCUAGGAGAGUCCAAAUGAGGUGUGGUUUUUGGCCAUGCGAUCGUGAUCGAACGACCGAGAUGAUGGAGGAGGUUUAGGUGGGUUUUGGGCCAAAAUGGAGGGGUGUUGGGCUGCAACACACACGAGGCCUUUUCGGUCCCUCGGUUAACCGUUGGAGCAUCAAGCGAAGUCCAAAUGGUACGAAACUUGACACGCGGUCUACCGGUAGUGAACCAAGGCCGCAUGACAAGUCUUGGUCCAAUCCGGAAAUGUUUAAUCCCCACACACGAAAGAAAGGUAGAAAUGACCACCGGAGGAGAAGGAAGCGCCGGAAUGCAAAACUGGCAACCGGGAAAAUGCUCGGAUGCAUGAGACGAACACGUAUGCAAAGGAAAUGCACAUGAUGACAUGAUAUGCAAUGCAUGACACGCAAGCAAUGACAAGGCAACAGCAGCGAAUAAUUGGACGACACCUGGCACAUCGGUCUCGGGGCGUUAUAACACUCCACCACUACGAGAGGAUCUCGUCCCGAGAUCUAGAAUGGCAUCGGAGGGACAAGGAAGAGAAAGAGAAGAGGUAGAACAAAGUUGCUUCAUUGACAAACGAGUGAAACCACGAACUUUGAAGAGGUUAAGCAAAUACGAGAAAAGAAUACAACGGAGAUGAACAAAAUUGAAAACACACCGAUAGAAAGGAGAAACAAAGAAGAACAAAUUCGUAUAGCGCUCCGGUUGGAAAGAGAUGCAAGACUUGAUAAGAUGAAAAGAACUUGAGCAGAGGGCACAACACUCCGGAUAAACAAGAUAGAGAAGGAAUAAGACUGAUAUAAUUUGGACAGCACUCCGACUGAAAAUGGAAGGAAUUAACAAGAACUUGACAAGAUGAGAGGAUACUUGAUGAAAUCAACAACACACUACCUCCGGAAUUAUUGAAAGAAUGGCACAAAGGGUAAAAACGAUUUCAGACGGCACUUCGGUUGAGAAGGGAGCCAAAACUUGACAGAAUGGGAAGAACUUGAAAAGAGGGCAUGGCACUCCGGUUAAAUGGGAUAAGCAAGGAAAGAACAUAAUCUUCACAAUCCGAGACGAUGUGUGAAGAGAGCAACAUCACAAAGCUUCUGGAACAAAAGAAUAGAAGCUAGAUUGUUGGGAUAAAGGGACGGAGAAGAAAAUGGCAAUUUCUGCCACAAAUGAGCUUGAAGAAACAUCUUUAGGAGAAGGGUCGAAUGGAGUUGUUGGAAAACCCACAACAAAAUAUAUAAUUUCCAAUGGUCUUAAGGAAAACGUCCCCAAAUUAUGAGGUGAAGACCAGCUACUAACGAAAUCAAUUAGUUGGAUUGAGAAGAACAAGGAGAUGAAAACUCCUUCAUCGAGAUGAGAAGUGUAAAUUGGAUCAUAGAUAAGCACCGUAAUGGCAACAUUCCCAAUGGAAGGCUUUAGGUGAAAUCUAUUGAAGAUAACUCUAAUGAAGAGAUUGAUGGAUUUAAAAUAUCUCGUUCAUGACAACAUGUGAAUCGUGAAACAUGAAUUCAAAUUAUCAAGAAUGACAUAAUACCACCUCCAAUGAUACGGAAGAAAGAAUUGCACUCUGGAUUACAAUAUGAAGAAAGCUUGAGCUUCUUAGAAAAGAAUCUCGAUGAACACUUCGAGAAUGAAUUAAAUCAUAGAUGAACCAUCAUGUAGAACCUUCAUGAGAACUCCGGAAAAAGAGAAGAUGCACAAUUGAAAUCAGGAAUUUGAUGAGCCUCCGGAAUAGGGAAUUGAGUUCAGUCGAUGAAACAAGAAUAAGAAUUACAUUAUGCUUAUCCUUCACCAAUUAAAUUGAUGACAAUCAAUGGACUUGGCAUACUACUUAUUCUCGUAAAAAGGAUUAAAAUAGAUAUAGCGCAAACUUGGGAAGGUCUUGAACGAUCCAUCGUAAUAAUUGAAACAACGAAUAAAAGAUAACGAAACACCGGGAAGAAUUUGCAAAUGAAUGAAGAUGCUUGAGAGAAUCUUGGUACAUGAGAACGAAGGGAUCACGAACUGAAUAGAGAUCACUUGAAUGAAGCACCAUAAAGAUUUGGAGAAUCAAAGCUGAAAGCUGAGAAUUAAUAAAUCUUAGAUGAUGGGCUCCAGAUGAACAAACUGAAAAGGCUCCUGAAUUGCUCCGGAUGGAUAAAAAGAAUUCUCACAAUCAAACAAUUAUGAGAGGAUGGCAGAGAAUGGGGCAAGAUUUAAAAGAAACUCUUCUUCGGUCUCCGAAUCAGAGAAUGAAGACGAGAAACACCACCAAUAAUUAUUUAGACACUCCGGAAGAAUCAAAACGAAGAGGUUGAGCCAACGAUGAAAAGAAUUUGAAAGAUCUUGGAGAAAUACAUUUGACUGAUGAUCAUUCAUUCUUAUGUCAAACUUUGACAAGAAAUUUGAGGAUAUCUCCGGGAAAUAAGAAGAGUCAGGUAAGAUCCUGGGAAUAGACUUGUGGCUUAGGGCCCACUGAAAAGAAAACACCGUUUAAAUGAUUUAAAAGAGAGGUUGCACCGAUUGAAUUAAAAGGCUUGAAAUGAGAUAACACCGUCGAAAGAUCUUGAACGAAAGCAGAGUGGAAAACAUGAAUCUUCGAGAUAUCUUGAGCACUCCGGAACAAUAGAAUAGCGAGCGGUGAAAUAUUAUGAGGUGUACCGUUAUGAGAAGGCAUUUGAAAUAAGGGAAAAGAAUAUGAUCAAACACUGAAAGCUUGAAUUGAAUCCACCGGAGAAGAUAAAAGAACAAGGAAUGAUAAACUUGAGGCUCCGUUAGAAUCUUCAUGAGAAACACCGGAUAAGAAUAUUGACAGGAAAGGAUGGAGAGACUUCACAAGAAUGAAAGAUACUUGAUUAAGACAUCUGAGUCCUUAAAGAAACAAAGGGAGGGAGGGUGGGAAAAACAAAGGCAACUUGGAGACGGAUGAAACAAACAACAUUGAGAAGAAACUGAUACUUGAUCUUGCGGAUGUUGAAAUGAUCGGACCCACUUGAAGAGAAGCACACCGGUUAAAAAGGAUUGGCAAAAACAAUCUUGAUGAUCAAGAAGGAUUGGUAUCCACAUUGGAGUAUGAGAACACCAUUUGGGGAAGGUAUGGAAUCAACAUUUGACUUUGAAGCAACUCGAAUACCACAACUCAAAACCAAAAACAAAGGAUUGGCUUGCAGAAUAAGCCGGAACAAACAUAUGAUAGAGAUUUCGUUCGAAGUUUUCAUGGUGGGGCCUACACGGGCUCGAUCGUACAGCACCAUCAUGUACAAGGCAGUGCACAUGACAUACGAAGCGUCCCCGAGUCGGCAUAGCCAAGGACUCUUUAAGACACAACGAGACCACUGUAAAACCAACCUUGGAUAGGCGGACCACUAGACGUCGAACCCCAAUUUCAUAUCAUACAUCUGUAGGAAAGAUAUCCUAAGAGCUACUUGAAUUCCCACCUGUGAAACUUCCGAACCUUUCCGGUUAUGCAAUCAGGUGUUGGGGAUACAGGGGAAGCAUAAUAUCUCACCCAAACUAGCAAAUCCUACAUCCAGUUGUAUCCAUCCUUCAACACAUAACCAAGAAACCUUCGGAAAUCAUCUACCUCAACCUUCGAAAAGCAUCCGUUAUACAAGUUAUGGCGAUACUCCCGAACUCCCGCCCAGUACUGGGUGGCAUCGAGGUUAUCUCACCAACGAACUGCAUAAAAGAGAUUUUCGAUGUUGGCGUACUAAACUCAGGUAUUCCAGAACUGCAAUGAUAAAAUUAUGACGACAACACCUCAGAGCUCAACUCCCCGGGACACUUCCACAAAACCCCUGACAGGAGGCACCAAGACAAUGUUCUUGUCAUAAAACCAUCGGAACGAUUCCAAGAUACCCGCGUGAUCCUAAAAAAAUUUAGUGAAUUUUUGAGAAGAGAAGAGUCAAAACUCUACGUCAGGAUGCCUCACCAGAGCGAUGAAGGGACUGGGGAGUAAAAAUAAUUCCUAAACUCUCCGAUAUAUAAUUCCUAAAUGACUCAAAACAUUUUUCUAGACACAACUCGGCUGCUAAAAACGAUCAAGCAAAUGGGGGCUCCUAAGGUCGGGGAAGGCUCUGAUACCAACUUGUAACGCCCUCGAUGCGGCUAUAUCUCCCACGUGUCGAAGCACGACUUAGAGUCAUAACCGCAUUCAAAGCAAUGUCGCAAGUGAGGUAAUCUUCACACAACCAAUGUAAUACAUAAGGAAAAAGAUACAUAGUUGGCUUACAAUCGCCACUUCACACAAAUACAUAAAUAAAGCAUUACAUCAUCCAGAUACAAUCAAGGUCCGACUACGGAACCCAAAAUAAAAGAAGAACCCCAAAUGCGACACGGUCCCCGAUCGACCCCAACUGAGCUCCACUACUGAUCAACUAGAACGAAACAACACAAAGGCCAAGAUCUUCAACGAGCUCCUCCUGAGCUGGGUUGCGUCAUCUGCACGGACUCAUCGGCACCUGCAAGCUGGUUUUGGAAGUAUCUCUGAGCCACAGGGACUCAGCAAUCUCGCACCCUCGCGAUCAAGACUAUUUAAGCUUAUGGGUAAGGUAAAGGUAUGAGGUGGAGCUGCAGCAAGCGACUAGCAUAUAUGGUGGGUAACAUACGCAAAUGAGAGCGAGAAGAGAAGGCAAAGCACGGCCGAUAAAAGUAUGAUCAAGAAGUGAUCCUAGACAACCUAUGUCAAGCAUAACUCCAACACCGUGUUCACUUCCCGGACUCCGCCGGAAAGAGACCAUCACGGUUACACACGCGGUUGAUACAUUUUAAUUAAGGUCAACUUCAGGUUUUCUACAAUCGGACAUUAACAAAUUCCCAUCUGCCCAUAACCGCGGGCACUGCUUUUGAAAGUUCAAAUCCCUGCAGGGGUGUCCCAACUUAGCCCAUCACAAGCUCUCACGGUCAACGAAGGAAUAGACCUCCUCCCGAGACAUUCCGAUCAGACUCGGUAUCCCGGUUCUACAAGACAUUUCGACAGGGUAAAACUAAACCAGCAACACCGCCCGAAUGUGCCGACAAAUCCUGAUAGGAGCUGCACAUAUCUCUUUCUCAGGGCACACUCAGAUUGUCCUAGGUAUGGGUAGGCCAGCCCAGAGUUGCCCCUGGUGCUCACCGGCAGCUGACAGGUUGGACCAACACUCAGAGGAGCACUGGCCCGGGGGGGGGGGGUAAAAUAAUGAUGACCCUCAGGAGCGCGACUCCCAAGGGAAAAGAAAAGGCUAGGUGGCAAAUGGUAAAACCAAUGUUGGGCAUUGCUGGAGGAGUUUUACUCAAGGCGAACUGUCAAGGGGUUCCCAUAAUAGCCCAACCGCGUAAGGAACGCAAAAUCCGGGAACAUAACAACGAUAUGACGGAAACUAGGGCGGCAAGAGUGGAACAAAACACCAGGCAUAAGGCCGAGACUUCCAUCCUUUACCAAAUAUAUAGAUGCAUUAAUUAAAUUAAGAUAUAUUGUGAUAUCCCAACAAGUAAACAAUGUUCCAACAAGGAACGAUCUCCAUGUUCCAACAAGGAACAAACUUCAAUCUUCACCUGCAACUAACAACGCUAUAAGGGGGGCUGAGCAAAGCGGUAACAUAGCCAAACAACAGUUUGCUAGGACAAGGUGGGUUAGAGGCUUGGUUCAACAAUAUGGGAGGCAUGAUAAGCAAGUGGUAGGUAUCGCAGCAUAAGCAUAGCAAAAGAGCGAGCAACUAGCAAGCAAAGAUAGAAGUGAUCUGGAGGGUAUGGUCAUCUUGCCUGAAAUCCCGCAAGGAAGAAGGACGAGUCCAUGAACAAGAAAAACGGACGAAGACGAACGGGCCCUCACAAAGCGAUGUUAUCGGAACCAACCCGAAGAAGCAAACACCGGAAAGAAGCACAUAACAUAGUAAACAACCAGCACAUGAACAUGGUAUGAUAUGCGAGAUGCGGUUUGCGAUGCACAUGCAUGAUUUGCAAGGGAAUGAAUGAACCUGGCCUCAACUUGGAAAUCCAAGUGUUCCACUGGAAAGAUGAGAUGUAAUCGCUUGAAAACGAUAUAAAGAUCACCGGAAUCAGUGUUACGGUUUGGAAAUGGCAAACAAUUCAAAUAUGACCACGUUCCGCAAUUUACAGCAAGUAGUCAUCUAAAUGCAAUAAGAUGAACAUGCUACAGCACCCAAACAUGACAAUAAAAUACAUGGCAGGGAUGCAUUCAUGAUGCUUAACAAAAGUCUAGCACUGAGCUACGGCCAAUUCAUCCAUUAACAGGUUCAAACAAGCAUGGCAAAAAUGCAAUUGGUAAACAGAUUUCAGACUUAGUGAAAUUAACACUUGUCUGGAAUUUCAGAUCAGGUAGCACUCUUCGGAGCAAUAAAACUAUAUGCUACAGGAACUGAACAUGGCAAAGUAAAGCAUGGCAUGGAGCUACUCAAAGAGCUUAACAAAAGUCCCUUAGUUACCUUGAGCCAAAAGGGAUUAGAAAAUACAAUUGCAAGCAUGUAAACAUGGCAAAAACAUAAUCAGUUCUCAGACUUAGUGAAAACUGGAGCAUGCUGAAACAGAUAUCAAGUAGGCAUGUUUACGAGCUCGAUGCACUCACUACAGAGCAAGUCAUGACAAUCUAAGCAUACAACCAUCAAGAAUACACAAAAGACAAGCUAGACAUGGCAAGAACAAUAACAUGGCAUGCACAGAUCAACUACAACAUCAUCGGCAAAAUCGCUAACAAGUAGACAAUCUGCCCAGAUUUACGAAAUAGCAAAAGUAGAGCUCGAUUGACUCAAGCUAGGGUGCUCCAUAAUUGCAAACAAAGGCGUGGAUGGAUAAAGCACUACAAGAUUAACAAAACAUCCUUACUGAUCAUCCUCAAAAGAGGAACGGAUCACUAGGAAACAACAUGAACAUAUGGCAAUAUGAGAUAAACAGCUCAAGGACUUAGUGGAAAUGAUAAGUCCCUGAAAUCAGCAUUACCAAGUGCCUCACUUUGCAAGCUUGAGCUAGUCACCACACACAUCACAAAAAUACAUGGGUUGCACCUAUGGAUAGAUGGCAAAACCCUUAACAAAACAUAUGAAGAGCUCAUGGGCAUAACAUGCACACAAUAAUCAUGGCAAAAAUGACAAAUAUCUAAAUGGAGCAGCAGAUCUGACAAUUAUCUCAACUACCACUCUUCUAACAGCAUUUCGGACACCAAGAUGAACUCAAAUGAAAAUGAUGCAAUGAGAGGAAAUGAUGUACUCUCUAAGUCGAACAUUUUGAUAUCCUACAUGCUUAAAUCGGAGCCACGGAUGAUGAGAUACGAUGCAAUGAAGAUUGCAAAAAAAUAUGAGAGAGGGAGAGAAAGUCAACCCUAGAGAAUUUGGAUCCAGAUCUGCACGUGGUUCGAGGCCGACCGGAGCCUCUCACCGGAGACGAGGAAGGAGAGGGCUGGGGCGAUUCCGGGGAGGUCACGGGCGGCGGGCCCGGCCGGAGUUGAGGAAGAAGCGGGCGGCGGGGCGCGCGGACCCGGGCCACUCCGGUGGCCGGCGACGGGUGCUCGGCGGCGAUCCGGUGAGGUGAGCGUGUGGCGGCGGUGGCCUCAAGUGUGUUCCGGCUAGGAGGCGGCGGAACACGGGACGAGAGGUGCGGGCGCNNNNNNNNNNNNNNNNNNNNNNNNNNNNNNNNNNNNNNNNNNNNNNNNNNNNNNNNNNNNNNNNNNNNNNNNNNNNNNNNNNNNNNNNNNNNNNNNNNNNNNNNNNNNNNNNNNNNNNNNNNNNNNNNNNNNNNNNNNNNNNNNNNNNNNNNNNNNNNNNNNNNNNNNNNNNNNNNNNNNNNNNNNNNNNNNNNNNNNNNNNNNNNNNNNNNNNNNNNNNNNNNNNNNNNNNNNNNNNNNNNNNNNNNNNNNNNNNNNNNNNNNNNNNNNNNNNNNNNNNNNNNNNNNNNNNNNNNNNNNNNNNNNNNNNNNNNNNNNNNNNNNNNNNNNNNNNNNNNNNNNNNNNNNNNNNNNNNNNNNNNNNNNNNNNNNNNNNNNNNNNNNNNNNNNNNNNNNNNNNNNNNNNNNNNNNNNNNNNNNNNNNNNNNNNNNNNNNNNNNNNNNNNNNNNNNNNNNNNNNNNNNNNNNNNNNNNNCCGAGCGGGCCGGCUGCGGGCCCCGUGGGCCGGGCGGCGGUGCGCGGUGGCAAAGGCCACGUGGCAGGCGUUGAGAGGCUGGGAGCAGCGGCGGAGCUGACGUGUCACCUCCCGGUUGGCCGGGGCGACGUGGCGGCGGGGUGGACGCGUCCGCCGGCAAGACGGACAUGUCCGGCGGCGCGAUGGAGAAGAAGGUUAGGGUUUCAUCCGCGAAAAUUUCGGGGAUGGCCACAUAUUUAUAGGUAGAGGGAGCUAGGAGAGUCCAAAUGAGGUGCGGUUUUCGGCCACGCAAUCGUGAUCGAACGACCGAGAUGAUGGGGGAGGUUUAGGUGGGUUUUGGGCCAAAAUGGAGGGGUGUUGGGCUUUAACACACACGAGGCCUUUUCGGUCCCUCGGUUAACCGUUGGAGCAUCAAGCGAAGUCCAAAUGGUACGAAACUUGACAGGCGGUCUACCAGUAGCAAGGCCGCAUGACAAGGCUCGGUCCAAUCUGGAAAUGUUUAAUCCCCACACACGAAAGAAAGGUAGAAAUGACCACCGGAGGAGAAGGAAGCGCCGGAAUGCAAAACUGACAACGGGGAAAAUGCUCGGAUGCAUGAGACGAACAUGUAUGCAAAUGAAAUGCACAUGAUGACAUGAUAUGCAAUGCAUGACACGCAAGCAAUGACAAGGCAACAGCAACGAAUAACUGGACGACACCUGGCACAUCGGUCUCGGGGCGUUACAAUUAAGCUCGGCUAAACUCCUUCAACUCUUUUGGACCAAGAUGAUCUAUGACAUCUUGGAUAUAGUCUGGCAUUGGAGCUUGGACACAUUCCGGCGUUGGAGCUCGGAUACAUUUCGGCGUUAGAGCUCGGAAGCAGUCCGGCAUUGGUGCUCGGCUGCAAAAGAUACAUCGAAUGCAGUCCAGCGUUAGAGCUCGCACGCAAGAGGACACUGCCUCCCGGUAACAACUUUAAACCCGAGGUGUGGCAUAAAAAUAACAAGGCAUUGAUAAAGGCCGGAAACUUAAAGGGGCUCCUCGGAUACCCGACGUGUAAACUCGUCGAAUGCAUGUCGGUGAUCCUCAAGAUCGAAGAUGGGAAGAUUUGUUGAACCAGUUUCCAAGACCGACAACCGAAGAUGAAGAGCAGUUCUGAAGAAUCGAGGAGCAUCCCUAACUUGAAGGCCGGUUCAGGGGGCUACUAGCGGUGUCCUGGACUAGGGGGUACUCACCACAUCAUCUUCCUAUCUGUUAGAUUGGGCUGAGGACCCCCAUGGCCGUAUACUCAUGGGCCAGCUCGGACAGUUGCCGCAUACAUGGAAGAUUCCACAAGACUUGGUGAUCAAGACAAGGACUCCUCCCCACCGGCGUAUUCGGCUAGGACUCUUGUUAUCCUAGGCCUCUGGUGCAUUAUAUAAACCGGGGCCAAGUUAGUCGAUAGAUAAUAUACAACAAUCAUACCAUAGGCUAGCUUCUAGGGUUUAGCCUCUCCGAUCUCGUGGUAGAUCAACUCUUGUAAUACUCAUAUCAUCAAGAAUAAAUCAAGCAGGACGUAGGGUUUUACCUCCAUCAAGAGGGCCCGAACCUGGGUAAAACAUCGUGUCCCCUGCCUCCUGUUACCAUCCGCCUUAGACACACAGUUCGGGACCCCCUACCCGAGAUCCACCGGUUUUUACACCGACACAAGGAGAUGAGAUUUAUGAUUAGGAACCUGGUUAUGUUGAAGAUCCUCCCCGGCAACGGCGCCAGAAAUUCUCCUUGAUGGCAGCUGGAACUACGUUGGUAUUUUCCCGAAGAGGGAGGGAUGAUGUAGCACAUCGACGGUAGAGUAUUUCCCUCAGUUAUGAAACCAAGGUAUCGAACCAGUAGGAGAAUCAAAGAAGCAACUUCAUCAGCACCCUUAAAAGCAAAAAAUUCUUCAAUUUGUUCGAUAUCGUAGUAACUAUAAACACCCUUUGCAUAAGAAGAUAAGAUUUCAUUUUCAUUAAACUCACAUAGGUAGGGAAGGUGUUUUUUAGGGUUCUUAGAGCAACAAGUAAAAUCACAAAUUUCACAAAGAUUCCAAGCAUAACACAACAAUCUAUUUAUUUGAUCUCAUAAGAGUUUCCCUUUUUCAGACAAACGGUGACGCACAAAAUGAGCAUGCUCAUCUAAAGAUUUCCCAUUAACUAGGCUAGUUGGGGUUUCAGCACAAGCGCAUAAGGACCGAAGAUGAUCCAAGUAGAACACUUUAAGUGGAUCCAUAUCAAUAGAUUUUUAGCGAGCAAAGAUGCAAGCAAAUAGAAGGCACGUGGAAACACAAACAAAAAGACAUACGGGAAGAGGGCGAAGAAAAGGCAAAGGCAAAGGUGAAGUAGAGGAGAGGAAAACGAGAGGCAAAUAGCAAAUAAUGUAAUGCGAGGGAUAAGAGUUUCUGAUGGGUACUUGGUAUGUCUUGACUUGUGCGUAGAUCUCCCCGGCAACGGCGCCAGAAAUCCUUCUUGCUACCUCUUGAGCACUGCAUUAUUUUUCCCUUGAAGACGAAAGGGUGAUACAGCAAAGUAGCGUAAGUAUUUCCCUCAGUUUUUGAGAACCAAUGUAUCAAUCCAGUAGGAGACAACACUCAAGUCACCUCGCACAUGCACAAACAAAUAAGAACCUCGCAACCAACGCGAUAAAGAGGUUGUCAAUCCCUUCACGGUCACUUACAAGAGUGAGAUCUAAUAGAGAUAAUAAGAUAAAUAUUUUUGGUAUUUUUAUGAUAUAAAUUGAAAGUAAAGAUUGCAAAAUAAAAUAGAUGGGAAACUUUAUAUGAUACUCCCUCCGCCCCAAAAUAUAAGAAUUUUUUUAACACUAGCAUAGUGUCAAAAAUGUUCUUAUAUUCCAGGACAGAGGGAGUAGAAGAUAGACCCGGGAGCCAUAGGUUUCACUAGUGGCUUCUCUCAAGAUAGCAUAAGUAUUACGGUGGGUGAACAAAUUACUGUCGAGCAAUUGAUAGAAAAGUGCAAAAUUAUGAGAAUAUCUAGGCAUGAUCAUAUAUAUAGGCAUCACGUCCGCGACAAGUAGACCGAAACGAUUAUGCAUCUACUACUAUUACUCCACACAUCGACCGCUAUCCAGCAUGCAUCUAGAGUAUUAAGUUCAUAAGAACAGAGUAACACAUUAGGCAAGAUGACAUGAUGUAGAGGGAAAAACUCAAGCAAUAUGAUAUAAACCCCAUCUUUUUAUCCUCGAUGGCAACAAUACAAUACGUGCCUUGCUGCCCCUGCUGUCACCGGGAAAGGACACCGCAAGAUUGAACCCAAAGCUAAGCACUUCUCCCAUUGCAAGAAAGAUCAAUCCAGUAGGCCAAACCAAACUGAUAAUUCGAAGAGACUUGCAAAGAUAACAAAUCAUACAUAAAAGAUUUCAGAGAAGAAUCAAAUAUUGUUCAUAGAUAAUCUUGAUCAUAAACCCACAAUUCAUCGGAUCUCGACAAACACACCACAAAAAGAAUUACAUCGAAUAGAUCUCCAAGAAGAUCGAGGAGGACUUUGUAUUGAGAUCCAACGAGAGAGAGAAGAAGCCAUCUAUCUAAUAACUAUGGACCCCGAAGGUCUGUGGUAAACUACUCACACAUCAUCGGAGAGGCUAUGGUGUUGAUGUAGAAGCCCUCCAUGAUCGAUUCCCCCUCCGGCGGAGCUCCGUAAAAGGCCCCAAGAUGGGAUCUCUUGGGUACAUAAGGUUGCGGUGGUGGAAAUACGGUUUCGUGAUGCUCCUAGAUGUUUUCUGGGUAUAUGGAUAUAUAUAGGAGGAAGAAGUAGGUCGGUGGAGCUGCAAGGGGCCCAUGAAGGUGCGGGGCGCGCCCAGGGGGAAGGCUCUCCUUCCUGCCUUGUGGCCUCCUCGAUCCUCUCUUGACGUCUACUCCAAGUCCCCUGGAUCACGUUUGUUCCAAAAAUAACUCUCCCGAAGGUUUCAUUCCGUUUGGAUUCUGUUUGAUAUUCAUUUUCUGCGAAACACUGAAAUAGGCAAAAAAACAGCAAUUUGCACUGGGCCUUGGGUUAGUAGGUUAGUCCCAAAAAUAAUAUAAAAGUGUGUAAUAAAGCCCAUUAAACAUCCAAAACAGAUAAUAUAAUAGCAUGGAACAAUCAAAAAUUGUAGAUACGUUGGAGACGUAUCAAGCAUCCCCAAGCUUAAUUCAUGCUCGUCCUCGAGUAGGUAAAUGAUAAAAACAGAAUUUUUGAUGUGGAAUGCUAUCUAACAUAAUUCUCAAUGUAAUUUUCUUUAUUGUGACAUGAAUAUUCAGAUCCGAGAGAUUCAAGACAAAUGUUUGAUAUUGACAUAAAAAUAAUAAUACUUCAAGCAUACUAACUAAGCAAUCAUGUCUUCUCAAAAUAACAUGGCCAAAGAAAGUUCAUCCCUGUAAAAAUCAUAUAGUUUGGUCAUGCUCCAUUUUCGUCACACAAGAAUGCUCUCAUCAUGCACAACCCUGAUGACAAGCCAAGCAAUUGUUUCAUACUUUAGUAAUCUCAAACUUUUUUCAACUUUCACGCAAUACAUGAGCAUGAGCCAUGGAUAUAGCACUAUGGGUGGAAUAGAAUAUAAUGAUGGGGGUUAUGUGGAGAGGACAAAAAAAUAUAAAGUCUCACAUUGACGCGGCUAAUCAACGGGCUAGGGAGAUGCCCAUCGAUUGAUUUCAAUGCAAGGAGUAGGGAUUUCCAUGCAACGAAUGCACUAGAGGUAUAAAUGUAUGAAAGCUCAACAAAAGAAACUAAGUGGGUGUGCAUCUAACUUGCUUGCUCACAAAGACCUAGGGAAUUUGAGGAAGCCCAUUGUUGGAAUAUACAAGCCAAGUUCUAUAAUGAAAAAUUCCCACUAGUAUAUGAAAGUGACAAAACAAGAGACUCUCUAUCAUAAAGAUCAUGGUGCUACUUUGAAGCACAAGUGUGGAAAAAAAGAUAGUAGCAUUGUCCCUUUUAUUUCUUUUUUUCUCUUUUUUGGGCCUUUUUUUAUUUUGCCUUUCCCUUUUUUAGGGGGGACAAUGUUCUAUUAAUGAUGAUCAUCACACUUCUAUUUAUUUACAACUCAAUGAUUAUAACUCGAUCUGUUUGGUUGACAACUAACUAAGUCUAGGGCUUUUAUAGAUGACAACUAACUCCCGCCUUACCAAAACCUCAGCGUUGACCGAAUGCAUGGGCAUCUGUUUGGUUGGAUGCCAAAAUAUCCAAUCGACGUCAAAAUUUUGGCCAACAAUUCACUUUUCAUGUCAACGCGAGGGCAAAUCUCAUUCCCAUUUUGGUGUGGCUGGCCUGGGCGCCGUUCAAACGGAUCCCUAGUUUCGUGGUCUCGGCAAUGGUGGCAUCGUAGGUGUAGCUUUAACUAGUCUAGACUUCAGGCCGACAUCUGGCGGUGCUUUUAGGUAAGUAAACUUAGAGCUCAUAUUGUGCUUUGGUACCCAAGGUGAUGCAUUGUGUACACCGACUGGGCACGGAUGUGGCGAAAAGGUCACCGUUCAAUCACUACGCGCCGUUUGGCAGUCACGUCGGUUGUGCUUGCUGACCUUGCAACACACUUAUGGACACUACAAUCUUGUUGAUACCCCCCUGCACGCCGAUGUCUGCAUGAAUUAACCCAUUGUACUUAGCAGUGUGUUCAACGCAGCUCGACCGAGGUCGUUUACGUUAUGCGAUCUCGUCCUCUCGCUCCUCACCACCUCUCUAUUUAGGACUAUGUAGGCGGGAACACACAUUUCCCUCAUGCCCCCCUCCCCCAAAUCCCUUGGUGGUCCUUCGCGCGUGUGCUCACCUUAUUCUUGGACCUAACCUCGGCAUGUCACCACUCGUUCUUCCUUGUCCGGUCAGUGCCCUGUUCCCAAUUAUCCCUCUCAUGCAUUGCCUCGACUGUGGUAGCGAGGUGAAACUUCUCGUCUCGGGGACGUAUGAGCAUGAAGGUUGGGUCUUCUACAAGUGCGAAAGUGAGUAAGUCAUCGACGCCAAUCUCUUAUGUUCUUGUUUCGGUUCAUGUCUGCGAUUUGUAUUGUGUUGAAUUUGGUAAUCUGGUUAAAAAAUUGCAGCAUGCCUAUAAAUUCUAGAAUUAAGAGCUGAAGUACGUGGAGUAUUUAGUUUACCACCAAUAUCUUAUAGGUAAUGUUGUUGUUAAUGCACUUGACUAGGCUGAAGAAAGAAGGGAAUCGCAUCAACUUUAGACCAUCGGCCUACAACAUCCACUCUCAUGUUCAGCUUGCGUAAGGGUCUACACCGGAAGCGUCCCACCUUUGCAGGUUCAGUUGCUAGGUAUAUGAACCAAUACCACAACCCCUAAGGGCAACAAUAGCCUGCUCCCUAAGUCAGGGAUAUACGUUGCUUAUGCGAUUAUAUCCAUAGCUAGCUAUCUAGACCCCGUGACACGUGACUGUAUGCGGCUCAUUUUGCUGAUUGCAUUUUUAUGAGAAUUUUCCCGACUCUAGGGGGAGAGGAGCAACCCCUUUUAUGCUAAAAGUUGAGAAAUCACGUGGCAAGCCACAUGAAUUCACGCUCAUGACCUGCGCAUUGUUGAGACGGAUAGAGAAGUCCAAAAGAUAAUAGAUUUAUAGUCAUUAGCGAAUCAACUACACGAUCAUUUUAGUGAAACAAAGACUAUGACACAGUCGCAUGUGCGUGAUAACAAUGCAUGGGAAAGGAGAAGAAGAAUGAUAUAACCACUUUCGUCCAAAGGCCUAAGAUGACGAGAAAUCUGGUUUCACAAAUGUCUAAGUACUCAAGGAUGAUUGACGAAAAAGUAUGAAAGAGAUUUAUCACACUUUGUCAUCAAAGUGCCCAAAGUCAAAUGGGAGCUAGUUGAGACCUCGCAUAAGUAUGGAAAAUUUAGUGCACAAAAUUCUGGACUUAAACAUUCCCUAGAGGGAACACACAACAAAGAUGUGUGCACACACAUAGGCGCGGGAAAGCUAAAGGACCGUGCUCUUGCAAUGAGAAAUUUGGUAGAGCAAGAGUUUGCGCCAGACACGCUCCAUGACUAAAUGACCAUAAAUUAGAUUAAUAUGGGAGAUUCGACGAACCGAGCAACGAGGAAUGUCGACAUUAACUUUUCUUAAAAAUUUGCAUUGGUCAUUGACCACUAGUAGAAAAAUAAGCACUCACAUCGGCCAACGAAGGUUGGUAUGUCACCAUGUGACAAAGCCACCUCUAAUGAUCCAGCGGAGGCAGUCGUUUUAGCGAUGGAGGCGGAUGUAAUUUUGAAAUCGCAUAUGGAAAACGCCAAAGGUAGUUGUCAUUUUGAAAUCGCCUGUAGCUUACAAACACUAUAUGCGGUCAUAGAGUAUUAGAGUUGAAACCACCUGCGGUACUUGCACCACCUAUGUACAUAACGCAAGUCCCCUUCCCCUAUCACUCACUUUCUUCAUCAUUCAGUUUAUCAACUCUUGGUCGAAGAAAUGGAUCUGUCAUUGUCGCAUCCCCGCGUGAACAUUCGAGCACAGGACUAGGAGUUAGUGUGCCAGCGCCACCACUAACACCAUCCGCAUGCUGCAUGGAUGACCACCUGAAGGAGCCACUCCCGCUGUCGCCUCCUGUCAACAUUAAGGCAUGGUAAGGGGGUAAGUGUGCCGGCGCCACCACUGCCUCGGCAGACAAAGCUUGUAGACGACCAUUCGAAGGAGUCCAUACCAAUGCCGCCGAGAGUAAAUCUGCUGGAACUACCGCCUCUGCCGCUAAACCUUGCAGACAUUGUCGUCAAGGUGGCAAAAAUUUGGGUUAUCUUUGGCCGCGAUUAUGUGGAGAAGGACAUCCCACCCCAUCGAAAAUGUGAGGUCCCUAUUAUUACUUAGGGCAUUUGGGUAGGUGUUAAGCUCCCAAAGAUGUUCCCACCUCCGUUUCCACCAGAUGUUUUGUAUCAGGUGAAGCUAAUGGGGGCAGCACAGGCUCCCUCACCACACCACAGUUGCCGCCAAAGAUGCUAUUGGUCGACCCGAAAAGCCUCCGUGGCGGCGCCCAAGACCACACCGAAGAAUAGUCGUGCGGCCAAUCAUACCGCAGGGAGGCAUGAGAGGCGAAGAAGCCUUGAAAAGACUUGUAGUGUAGUAUUUUAUAUGUACAAGCAAUGUAGUCUCUAAUGCCAGUAUUUAUUUUAUGAUCAAAAUGGAAUGUAUUUUCAUAUGGAAUCAUAUGUAGUUCUUUCUUUGUUAGUGCAUCUUGGGGCUCCACUGUCCUCAGUGACCCCGAGGUACUGACAGGCAGAAGCGCGUUAGUGAUGAUGAAUCCGGCCAGUCAGUGCUAUUUGGAUGUGCGGUUGUGUCAGAGCGGCAGAUUUUUUUUGCAAGAAAAACUUCCAGUCUAUUCGUCAACUGUUAAGGACAUACAAAGAACACCGGAAGUAAAAAAUACAUCCAGGUCCAUAGACCACCUAACGACGAGUACAAGCAUUGGAGCGAGCCAAAGACGCGCCCCUCCCUCAUCGAAGCUGGGCAAACCUUGUUGUAGUAGACAGUUGGGAAUUUGUCGUGCUAAGACCCAUAGGACCAGCGCACCAGAACAACAACUACCGCCAAUAAAGAGAAGGAUAGAUCGGAAAGAUCCAACCUGUAGACUCACGAACACAAACAGAUGAAAACGAGAUCCACAUGGAUCCACCGAAGACAAUAAUCGACCGAAUCCCGCGAGAUAUGCCAGAGACAAACCUCCACACGCUCUCCGAUGAUGCUAGAAACACCACCAUAACGGGGACUAGGCAGGGAGAUUCUUUUUCCAUCUUCAGAGAGCCGUUGCUGCAGCCUCGUCUCUCUGAGCAGGACACAAACUCUAUCAAAACUCAAAAAAGCAUGAAAAAACGAAGCCCUCCCGUCGGCAAGGGAUGUGAUCCACCAUGCCUCCAUGGCUCUAUGACCAAAGGAGACGAGGUAGACCAGCGGCGGCACCGGCAGGAGGCACGAGAAACCCUAGUCAAUUCUUUCUUCCCUUGGAAGAAAGAGUUGAUACUCAAGCGAUUUGCAGUUCCGAGGGCAUGUACAUCGUGUCGCGUGGCCGACGUGGUUGCCAUUGAUGUUGGUCAUUAGCAUGUCGGUUGUUGCAUCUAUCGCAGGGCAGUGAUGUGCUUGCCUUUUCAUUGUUGCGGGUGAGUCUCGGGUCUACUGCUCCCAUAGCAGUCACGACAAUGCCAUCUUGAUCAGUGCAGCGGAUCCAUCCACUGUUAUGUGUUUGGUUGGUUGGCGCUUGUUGUUGUGUUUGACAUGCAGUCGAAGAGAGUGGGCUUUGUCCUGUGUGGUUCAGUGUUUGGUAGUAGUGGGCUGUGUUCUUGUUGUUUCAAUUUUUGCUUAGUUGUUUGUAAUUAACUAGACAAUUCUCAUCAGCUUAAUUAAUGAAUGAGCAAUCUUUACCUCCGUUUCAGGAAAAAAAAUGCUAUCACCCAGGUCGAGACCAAGGAGCAUCUUGGGCAUAAAUAAUUAGUUAACGCCUAAAGGGACUGGCUAGUUAUCUCUUAGGUCAGGAGCUCUUUUAUGGUACCCAGUAGUGAAUAUAGACCAUCUAUCCGCGAAAUCCAACGGCCAUGACUGUUCUAUACCACUGCAAUCAGGCCAACCGGAUGACGAGCAGUAUAGGUAGCACCGGUCGUUGUUAUCGACCACCAGUAUACAUGUUCUGCAGUUCAGCCCGUCCCUAACUCACCCCGGCCGUUGUUCUUGUCCACUGAUGCUGGUAGAGUUCCGGUGGCCACCGUUGUGCCUUCUCUUCCUUCUCCAGCACCUUCGCUCCCUUGCAAGCCUGAAUCCUUUUUCUUCUCCGUGCAUGGAUCCGGCGCUCGACAGCAUGGCGUAGGCUUCAGCCUGAACGGCUAGACUGUGCUUUCCUUCUCCAAUAGGUAUGACGGCCAUGAGGCAUUGGCCUGCGCCCCUCCCAUGGUGAACACACCUAACACUGCUCUCAUUUUGUCCUGGUUCAUAACGAGUGGUGACGAAACAACUUGGCUCCGUUGUCCGUCAGCGCAGAGACUUGCCAUGUACAGAAGUUUGCCAUCCCGGCCGUGGCGCCCGGGCAUGACGGAGGAGCGCACUGACUGAGCUGCGGCCACCACGUCUUGUUCCAUGUAUGUCUGUGAUGGGGUUGGGCGACGCAGAUGGAGAAAUGGGGACACGACGUCAAGGUAGACGAGCGCGUCGGGUCGCAGUAUGCGGCACGCAGCAGCAAGGUCAGCUAGAGCAUGGCAGCCAUGGGAGCGAGCAAGCGAAAUAGGCUGGCAUGUUGGCUCAUACAUAAUCCCGCUUAGGCCUUCACGUACUGAAGAAAAGAUUCACAUUGCCUUUUAAGAACAGAAAAUGUUUAUUAGUGCCCACAUGAAAUUAACGAUAGGAUUUAGUUAUACUGGUCCCCUCACCCCAAGCAGUAUCCGGUACCGUAAAAAAGCUGUAGGUCAGACAUUUCUUUUUCUGAUUGCAAAUAAAGAGAGCGCACUAAACUUGACACAGGCAACACUUCUCGGAGAUGGCAUCAUACCACUAACUUAAGUAGAUCACCACAAGCAAGAUGCGACAGAUCAUAGAGCACAUUAAGAUAACUGAACAGCAACCUCAUUAGAAAAUACUACUAGAAACAACUUGCUUACUUAAAUUGACACAAACAAAGAACGGCACACGUGCCUGCAUGCAUGGAGAUAACAACUUCACUAGAUCGACAGAAGAAACAGAGGCAGAUCAACAGGGACAACCCAACACACGCAACAUUUCCAUGCGAUGACUCAACUUAACUAGAUCGACCGGAGCGAGAAGCGGUAGAUGCGCGCGCAUGCAUGCAUGCUCCGGGCUCCCUUACAGAGCGAAGGCGGCGGCCGCAGUUCGGAGUAUCUGAAAGCACAGCUGCGGAUUCGCCAGGAAAGCCGCGCCAGAGAUGACGAAGCCGGUCGCCCCUGACGCCUUCAUCGUGGCGCCGACGGCCACCCAGCAGGCCAGAGGAAGUAGACGCCCACGGCAGCGCCCAUACAAAUCUGCGUUGAAUGACUUCCAGGGUCCGGACCGUGCACUGUGGAUGUAUGCAAACGGUUUGAGGUCAGCAUUAUAGAUGUCCUUUGGUGAGAUAUUUCUGUUUUCUGAUUGCAAAUCAAGAGAGCACACUGAUCGACUAGUAUAACUUGACACAGGCAACAUUUUUUGGAGAUAACAUCAUACAAGACACCAGUAACUUAAGUAGAUCACCACAAGCAAGAAGCGACAGAUCAUAGAGCACAUUAAGAUAACUGAACAGCAACCUCAUUAGGAAAUAAAAACAACCACCUUACUUAAAUUGACACAAACAAAGAACGGCACACGCGCCUGCAUGCACGGAGACAACAACUUCAGUAGAUCGACAGAAGCAACGAGAGGCAGAUCGACAGAGACAACCCAACACACGCGACAUUUUCACGCGAUAACUCUAACUUAACUAGAUCGACCGGGGCGGCAAGCGGCAGAUGCGCGCGCAUGCAUGCAUGGAUGCUCUGCGCUCCCUUACAGAGCGAAGGCAGCGGCCGCCGCCGCGGCGCCGGCAGUGCGCAGUAUCUGAAAAUACAGCUGCGGAUUCGCCACGAAUGCCGCGCGGGAGAUGAAGAAGCCGGCCGCGCCUGGCGCCUUCAUCGUGGCGCCGGCGGCCACCGCCCCAGCAGGCCAGAGGAAGUAGAUGCCCACGGCAGCGCCGGCGACCAGCGCCGCGGCUGCGGCGGCUUCCAGCGCGCCUUCGCGUGUGGUGAACACGUUCUUCGCCUUCUGCUUGAACGAGUCCAU
rnacentral:lncRNA from 1 species